rnacentral:lncRNA from 1 species
GUAGCAUCAAUAUUCAAGAUGGUUCUCCAAACUCAACUUGGGCUGAACAAGCACCAAUCCUACGCUCACGAACAAAACUACUAUUGCGAUAGCAGCCAUGGCGGCUCUAUGCAAAUGACAAGGCCUUCGGGCUAUUCGACCUUGCCAUAUGGUCAGUCCACUCACAACCACAUGAUGAUGGGUCAUGGUGGCCAACACCAUGGCGGACCCUAUGGCGGUCAUGGCCAUGGCCAUGGCGGACACUAUGGUAGUCAUGGACAUCAUGGGGCGCAUAUGCCCCAUGACUCCACCAACUUUUCAAGCAGCACCAAUAUGGUCCAUAGUGAUGGUGGCUAUGGAAGUGGAAUGGAACAAUCUACCCAUAUGGGCAUGGGGUCGACCAAUUAUCAAGGCCAUGGUUAUGGUGGCAGCCACCCUAGUCAGUACAGCCAGAGCCAGAAGCUCAACUGGGCACUUAAGGAUUUGGAGGAAUAAAUUUAUGAUAAAUUUUAUGCUAUCCUGUAUGGUGGAAGUAUGUGUGUGUGUUUUGGUAGUGGAUUUGCCUAUAUAUGUAGCAUAAAGAACUACUACCUGAAGAAAUAAUGUACUAAGCAGUCUGCUGGUUUGCUUGUUUAUCUAUGUAUCUACUUUAUCAUUACUAAAUGAUGAAUAAUUAUAAGUAUGUUUAUAACUAAAAUGAUUUGUGUGGUUCUAUUUAAAAGAAACGACACUCCAUUGGUAUUUCAUAGUGAAAGUACAGCAUGAGUAAUAGCUAUUUUGUAUAUAUAUAUAUAUAUAAAUANNNNNNNNNNNNNNNNNNNNNNNNNNNNNNNNNNNNNNNNNNNNNNNNNNNNNNNNNNNNNNNNNNNNNNNNNNNNNNNNNNNNNNNNNNNNNNNNNNNNNNNNNNNNNNNNNNNNNNNNNNNNNNNNNNNNNNNNNNNNNNNNNNNNNNNNNNNNNNNNNNNNNNNNNNNNNNNNNNNNNNNNNNNNNNNNNNNNNNNNNNNNNNNNNNNNNNNNNNNNNNNNNNNNNNNNNNNNNNNNNNNNNNNNNNNNNNNNNNNNNNNNNNNNNNNNNNNNNNNNNNNNNNNNNNNNNNNNNNNNNNNNNNNNNNNNNNNNNNNNNNNNNNNNNNNNNNNNNNNNNNNNNNNNNNNNNNNNNNNNNNNNNNNNNNNNNNNNNNNNNNNNNNNNNNNNNNNNNNNNNNNNNNNNNNNNNNNNNNNNNNNNNNNNNNNNNNNNNNNNNNNNNNNNNNAUAUAUAUAUAUAUAUAUAUAUAUAUAUAUAUAUAUAUAAAUUCACUGGCACACUCUUACUACCACCCCGAAACAAAUUCAACCAGUGUUGUUUUCACAUUUUCACUACUUUUUGCACUUUUUCUCUGCCCUCUCUCUCACUCUCUUCUAACCAGCCCCCCUCCCUCAGCCAAACUGAAAACGAACAGAACCAUGUUUCAGAUGGUAUAAAAUCUAAGAUCAUGAAAUGACUGUAGUAAUUCAGAUGGUCAUACAAUUCCUAAAAUUGGGUAUACAUCGUUCUAUCACAACUGGAAAAUGGUCCAUUACAUCCGUUACAUCCGCUCGAAUGCCAAUAGAUCUAGAGGAACGGCUCUUGCGACAGUUGACCACACCGUUGUUAUAGGGCCAGCUAUCACAACGGUUUUUCCUCUGUCUGAAACAACGAAUAUUCAUUUCAAGUGCAACGAUUUAAAACCAUUACCAUAGAGUUUAAUGCAACGAUUGUAAACUGUCACCAUAUUAUUUGCUACAAUGAUCGCAAGCCAUUAACAUAGAAUUCAUUUCAAUGGUUAUGUAAGUUAUUGCGACGUUUAUUUACAGAUAUUCUAACGGCUUCGUUAAGCUACUGUAACAAUUUUAUUUCUAUCACAUCGGUUUGUCACACUUUUUUGAAUUGUUUGCAAGAACUAUUGGAACAAUUUAGAUUGUCUAUGGUAACAAAAUUUGUGCUUAUUGCGACGAUUCUAUUAGGCUAUUGUAUUAGUUGAAUUGACAUUAUUGCCCUAGUUGUAAAUAAUAUUUACAUAUGUAAAUAUUUGUAAUAACCUGAAAAUUAUAUAUAUAAAAAAACAAAAUACUUCAUAAUCUAUAUUGUCUAGUAAGCUAAUAAUAACUAUAACAGAAAAAUAUCUUAACCCAAUCACAUAAGUUUUGCAGUUCAAUGCUUCAAAAGUUAAAGUUUCAAAUGUUGAUAACAAAAGAUUCCUAGAACAUCGACAAUCAUUUAAAGUUCUUUUUAAGCAAGGUCUAGAUCUUCAAUGUCUUCAUCUUUCAUUUCUUCAGUUGCUCCACCUACAAAAGAGGAUAAAUAAAGUCAUUACCCUUCAAGGGUUGCUUUACCAUUAUAAGAAUGGGUAUAGUCUAUGAACAAUGCAUAAAGUAAAAUAUUCUCAGGAAAAGAAACAAGUUCACACAAAUGAGAAGCCAAAGUUUAGUAAAAAAUCUAAAUCAUCAAAACCAAACUUAUAAACAUAAGCAACAACAAUAAGAAGAACCUAGUAUGAUCCUACAAGUGAGGCAUGAGGAAGGUAAUAUGUACGCAUACCUUACCCCUACCCCGAGGGGCAGAGAGGUCGUUUCCAGGAGACCCUCAGCUCAAGACAACAAUAAAAGAUGAUAUAUCAGUACUAUCCAUAAACUCAUACUAAAAUUACUUAAAAAUACAUAACAUAACAAUAAAAUAACAAAAUAGCAGUAAUAUAGGAAAUAGAGGAAAUACGAAAAGGAUGGGAGAUGUACUAAUAUCCAAUAUAUAAAUUCAUGAAUCAGUAGCUGAGUAGUAGAAUCCUAAGAUUAACUCCUAAUUGGCUAGUCUUACUGAAGUGCAUUGUAGAAAUGUCCCCAACUUCUCCCUAACUUACAACUCUAAUUCUCGACCUCCACAAUUCUCUGUCACGGGCCAUGUCCUUAGUAAUCCUAAGACGCCCCAUGUGUCCUACCUGAUCACCUUUCCAAAAUACUUCUUAGGUCUUCCUCUACCUCUCCUCGUGCCUACCAUAGCCAAUCACUCAUACCUUCUCACCGGUGCAUCUGUGCUCCUCCUCUAAAUGUGGGUGAACCAUGUGAGUCUUACUUCCCGCAUCUUGUCCCGUACAGGGGCCACGCCCACCUUCUCUCGAAUAUCUCCAUUUCUAAUCUUAUCCAUCAUUGUAUGUCCGCACAACCACCACAACAUCAUCAUCUCUGCUACUUUCAUCUUCUCGAUGUGUGAAUUUUAAACCGACCAAUACUCGAUCCUGUACAACAUGGAAGCCCUAACCACUGCUCUAUAAAACUUACCUUUUAGCAAUGGUGGAAGUUUCUUGUCACACAGAAUUCCCGUUGCUUACCUCCACUUCAUCCACCCCACCCCUAUGCGGUGUGUGACAUCAUCGUCGAUUUCCCCGAUCCCUGCUAACUGAUGCAAGGUACAUGAAACUACCCCUCAUAGGGAUGACUUGAGAUUCCAGCCUCACUUCCAGUCCCGCUUGCGUCGGCUCGGCCCCAAAUUUGCACUCCAGGUAUUUUGUGUUCGUCCUGCUCAACCUGAAACCUUUAGACUCAAGGGCAUGUCUCCAAACCAGCCUCUCGUUGACACCGCGUCAUGUCUUAUAAAUUAGGACUAUGUAAUCAGAAAAUAGCAUGCACCAUGGCACCUCCCCUUGAAUAUGAUGUGUUAUGGCAUCUAUCAAUAAGGCAAAUAGGAAAGGACUGAAAGCAGACACUUGGUGAAACCCCGUAACAAUCGAAAAGUGCUCGGAGUCACCUCCUACUAUCCUAAUAUGAGUCUUAGCUCCAUCAUACAUGUCUUUAAUUACCUCAAUGUAUGCUACCGGGACCCCUUUAACUUCGAAGCAUCUCCAUAAAACGUCCCUAGGAACCCUGUCGUACGAUUUCUCUAGAACGAUAAACACCAUGUGGAGAUCCUUUUUUUUAUCCUGUAUUGUUCUACCAUCAUCCUAAUAAGGUGGAUCGCUUCUGUGGUAGAUCGCCCUGGCAUGAACCCGAACUGGUUGUCUGAAAUAGAUACUAUCCUUCGCACUCUCAUCUCUAACACUGUCUUCCAGACUUUCAUAUUAUGACUCAAUAAUUUGAUACCCCUAUAGUUGUUACAGCUCUAGAUAUUGCCUUUGUUCAUAUACAAAGAAACCAAACUUAUAAGCAUAUGCAUUAACGCAAAUUGAGAGUUGUAUGCUUUUUUCUUUUUGACACAAUUCAAACAUAAAACAUAAGCAAAUGAACUAUUUAAUAGUACUACGUUUAAUACUACAAGUAAAACAAAACAGAAAAAGGAACAUACUUGUAAAUAUUUAACGAAAACCGGAUUUUUCAACCAUUUGCAAAAGUAAGCACUCUUCACCUCAUGUGCAAGGCAUUUCAAUUACAAAAUAUACAUCCUAAGGAAAAAUUCCCCACACAAGGUUAGACAAGUCACAUACCUCGAACCGGCUCAAAACCAACCCGAGAUCACGUUCUUUGCACGAGUGGAUAAUGUAAAUAACACUUCAAGUAACCGAUUCUACAAUUAAAGUCUAAGCUAAUACGCAAAAUUAUAUCAAAUAACCAAAAUGCCCCUCGGCUAAAAUUUAUAUUUUCAGAAACGUUGCACUCUCACGAGUUCAGUUAUAUGAAAAAGGUACCAAAAUUGGACCUUAAUUUGUCUCAAAUCAUCACUCAAAGGUCUCCAAUUAGACAACCCCUAAUCCCCCAAUUACCAUUGAUUUUCCAUAAUUUUUCAUGGUUAAUAUGAUAAAACUCAUCUCAAUAACGAGUUUAGGGACCAAAGAACUUACCCCAUUGAACACCUCUGACAAUCUCUCUUGAAAAGUGCUCCCCAAGCUUCUUCCCAUUUUGAAAAAGAAUAAAGUGGCUAAAUUUCACGAAGCAAGAAUUUAUAUGUUCUGCCUAUCGAUUUCCGCAUAUGCAACCCUGGGAUCGCAUCUGCAGUCCCGGUUUUGUGGACCAAAGUUCGCACCUGUGACUUUCACUUAAAGGCAAGAAUCUGCACCCGCGAUUACCCUAUCGUAGAUGCGACACCGCUUCUGCGGUUUUACUCCCGCAUCUGCAAAACAUGAAGGUUCUCCCCAGCUCAGCUUCUGCGAUGGCUACGCCUCUUUUGCGGCUCCGACCAUGAGGAACCCAAACCGCAGGUUCGCUUAUGACAUAUAUCAGCUGAAACUACCAACUUCAAACUCAAAAAUUCUUCGGUCGACCUUCCAAAUUUAUUGGCCCACGAGACCUCAACCAAAGGCAUGAACAAGUCUUAAUCAACUACCCAAACGUGUACCAAUCCGUAAAACACCUAAAACAAUAUCGAAACCUCGAAUUAACCAAGGAUUUAAGCCUAAGAACUCCAAAUUUCCUCAAAAUACACUUCCAAUUGAAAAGAUGAUCACAUUUCAUCCGAACGAUCUUAAAUUUUGCAAGCACGUUACAUUCAAAAAUAUGGAGCUACUCCUACUUUCGAAAUUCCAUUCCGAUGCUCAGAUCAAAAUUUCACUAUCGGACUGAAAACUUUAAAUUUAACUUUCGGCAUUUCAAGCCUAAUUAUCUACGGACCUCCAAAACACAAUCCGAACAUGCCCCUAAGCCCGAAAUUACCAAUGGAGCUAAGGAACCAUCGGAUUUCCCCUCCUAGGCCAUUUAUACAAUGUUACAACUAUGGUAUACUUUCCAACACUUAAAUCGCAUUUAGGGACUAAGUGUCCAAAAACUCUCUGAAACUCAAAACCAAACAUCACGGCAAAUCAAAAUAGCAGAAAUAAACUUGGGCAAGCAGUUAAUAGGGGAUCACGACAUUAAUUCUUAAAACGACCGACUGGGUCAUCACACAAAUGCAACAUCAGGGGUCUUAAUUUGGCAAUUGUGUUUCAUUUUGAACAAAAGUUAAAUAAAUUUGGGUCUCUCAAACCUUAAUCUUCCUCGCUCUCCUAAUUCUCAUGUUCCACCAUUUUCACUCCUAAUUGUAUGCAUCCAGGUAUGAGAGCUUAAUCUUUGUACUCUUCUUCUUAUUCCCUUCUUUAUUUCCCUUUAGUUAGGGUUCAAAUGGGCUCUUCUCUUCUGUGCAGAAUUGUUGAAAAAUAUUUUAAAUCUUGUUAUGGUUUUUUGGGUGAAGUUUUUUGAGAGUGUGAGCUUAUUUAUUUGCUUUAAAAUGGGGAAGUCUGAGUAUCCAUGGCUUUGUUCAAAUAGAAGUACUUUUGUAUGCUUCCUAUGUGAUAGAUGAAUGCUUUGAAUGAUAUUCUUGGCCGAAUCACUAAAUUUUCUUCAAUUCAUGGUUGCGUGUGAAGUUUAAUGCAUAUUUAUGUUCCUAAAACUGAUUGGGUUAUCUAAAAGCGUGCUUUUGUUCGAAAUAUUUUGGGGCUUGGGACUGUUCUCUGAGAGAAGCUUGGCUAGGGACGACGAGAUUGCAAUUGUGAUGGCCCCUUCGCAUUUGUUAAGAGGUGUUCGUAAUUGCAACUGUCAGCCCUGGAAACCUUCUCAUUUUCGAAGAUGAGCUCACAUUUGCAAACAUUUGAAAAGUCUAUUGGCUUCGCAAUUGCGACAUUAGAGAGCAGGCAUCUGCUGAAGUGAAAAUCUUGAAAUUUUUUAUAUGGCUGGGUUUCUACUAUCCAAUCAUAUAUUUGGCAUAUUUGACUCAUUUUGCAAUAUAUUUCAUACCCAUACUAUGUUUUCAUUCCAAUACUUUCCUUAGAGGUAUCAUAAGCUGAAAAUGAGCUCUCACUCCAACAAAGUCGGGCAUGACAAUACUUUGGAAGUAGAGGAGAAUGAUGGCCAACAUCCGUAUUUGUCAUUGGAAUGCCAUGAACAAUACUAAUGCUGAGUUGAAAGAAGCUUCUCCCGAAAAUGGUACAUUGUUGGAUAAAGUCCCAGAACAUCCUCCCGAGUUCUAUCAGAUGCUUGUAGACAUGGGAUAGAUCUGUUUUACCCCUCAAUCGUGUAGAUCCAAUGAGGAAUGGGUGAGGGAAUUCUAUGCAAAUAUUCGAGCCAUUAGGUUAAAAAUGACAAAAAUGAGGAUUCGCGGCAAAAUGGUGCAUUUUGGAGCUGAAGUUGUGAAUCAAAUCUAUCACCUAUAGGAACACGACAUUGCCCCAAUCCGUAAAGAUUGAGCCUCAGAGGAGGGGUUGGUCUCCAAAUUGUGACGUGGUGUAGAUGUUCCAUAUGCAAGUGAAAAGUGAGGGAUCACAUCAAAAGAAUUCACUACCGAAGAAAAGAUAUGGAUGACCAUCAAUGCAGUCGCAUCUCUACUACGGGAAAUAUAUGGAAUCUACCAAUAACAAGAGCUCAAAUAAUAUCCUUCAUUCUAGAUGGUAUUCGGCUCAAUGUUGGUGAGAUUUUCAUCACUGAACUAAGGGACUAUCAGAUUCAGAAUGGUCUAUCACUAAUGUUGCAUCUCUUAUCACUAAGCUGUGCCAACUUGCUGGUUGAGGAGGAUCCAAAAGACAACUAGAUAGAUCCAGAGAAGCCUAUCAAUCUAUUGAAAAGAAGAGGAGAGGGUGGUACCGUCAAAAGCAAAAAGAGAAAGUAAGGAUCUUCUUCCCAUACCAACCAGGGUAGCCAGCCAUCAUCUUCUCUAGGAGGAUCAUUUGCUAUGCUUUCCGAGGAAAUGCAUCCUUCCACAAGGCAUGGGGAAAAAUUUGAGGGACCCUCUAUAUUUAUUUAAAAGAAUUAAUUUCAAAAGUAUCUUGAUGACCAAAAGUAGGGGAAUCACCUUAAGUAGCUGAAGAAGGCAUAUACUGAUUUGGCCAUGACACGCGAUACUUUGUAUACUUCUCAUGACAAUCUGGCAAAGGCACACACCAGGAUGAAGAAAAGGGAGAAGAAGAGAGAUAAAUUCUUCACCUGCAUGUGAAAGGGUGUGAAGGGGACAUGAAAAUUUGUAAAGCCUCAAGAGCCAGUGCUAUCGAUCGAGCCAGAAGAUGAUGCUGCUUCAGUUCAUUAGUAAGAAGAGUAUGAAUAGGAGAAGGACGAGAAUGAUUUAGACCGCGCGGAGAGCCCUUUAUGCAGUAUUCAGGGAGCAAUUUCUACCAUUUCGCUUUAUUUUAUUUACUUGCAUUGAGGACAUUGCAACAUCUCUAGUUGGGGUGGGCUUCUUGUAUAACUGUUGAUAUUCUUUUGUUACUAUGGAUAUGGUAGAUUGAUAUUUUGUUUUCAUAUGAUGUGUUGUAUUAUAAUGUUUAUUAGCUUGUUGAAUUUUUUUAUAUAUAGUAUUUUAAUUGACGUGAGGUUUAAUAGCUUCUCCAAUUUUUAUUUUUAUAAGUAUGUUUUAUUGACUUGAUGUUUAUUAUCUUCUUCAUUUUAAAUAGUAUAUUUAUUUUGGUUUGAUUUUCUUUGUACCACAAUUCUUUUUUCAAGGAUGCCAAUUUAUUUUUGAAUCGGGUAAAUUGGUAAAUUUUUGUGUCGACAUUUUCCGAUGAUGGAUAGCUAGGAAACUUUAUUACGGGAAGUAGUCCUGCAGUUUAGAUAUAAAAUUUUGUAACUUCGAAAGAAUAAGUGGUAUGAGUUGGAGUUUGUGUCCAUUGGCUAAUUUGUGGCUUGCUUGAUACCAACAUUAUUUAGAUCAUAACAUAUGAAUUCUUGAUCAUUAAAAACAAAAAUGAUUUAAGUAAAGGUCGUUGUCAUGAGUUUUAGACUCAAUUUUUGGCUCUUUAAUUCAAUAAGUAGUUUCAUAGGCUAUAUGUGACUUCUUUGAGUUCAUUGGUUUCAAUUGUAUUAUGGAUUAUAUUCCACUUGAGAUUUCACGUUCUAUGUGUGGCGAGAUUUAUUGUGAGUUUUUUUGCAUCAUUUGUCUAGAAGUUGCUCCGAAUAUGCUUCAAGGCAAAAUCAUAGACUAACUUGGGUUGAAAAAUGAUGUUAGCCCUUCCUUGGACUGCGAUUGUACCUUAAAUUUUCUACUUUUGUAUAUUAUCCCUAGUCAACGCUUUUUUGAGCCUUUAAACUUUUCUUUGUAAACCAUAUUACAAGCUUUAACAUUCGUUCUUUAUUUAUGUAUCUUUUGGCACCCUACCUCUCUAAGUAUUUUGAAAGCAUAAACUUAGGCUAAAAGCCUAAGUUUUGGAGUGAAGGUUAGAAAAGUUGUGAUGUGAAAGUUGCUUAAAAGGUGAAAGCUAAUAUAAAAAAAAAAGAGUAAUAUUUGAGGAAAAAAUAAAGACUUGUUAAAAAAAAGGAAAGAUUAGGUGAUGAGGUUAAAAAAAAAAAGGGUGGAAAAGUUUAUGAAAGAUGUUUACUUUGAUUCUUGAAAAUUCAUAGUGCUUAGGGAGAUUUUGAGUCACUCUAACAAAAAUUGUGUCCUACCUUACCGAAAAGCAUAAACUAUCACUCUUUAAGUCCUAAUUGAUUUUAAACCAAGUUUGUUUAUAUUAGUGAAAAAUACCUGAAGGGAAUGGCUAUGGUACUACUUUUGUAUAUUUGAACAUCAUUGUGAGUGAGAGUUAAUUCUUUUAAGUUGAUAUCCUAUUUAUAUCGUGAAUUGAAAUUUAUGAGUGUGGAAUUCUCUUAUACGUGAGAGGAUGUAUCAUCCUGGUCGUCCGCUUUGAGUGUUUUAGCCUUAAUCCACUAUUAACUACUCUCCCAUGUCUAUUUUUACUAUUGUGACUUGAUGGGCAUUUUCGUUUUGGUUUUUGGAAGUGUUUGUGUGAUCACCCAAAUGGUCAUCACUGUAAUUUUCCCUUUCUUUGUUCUUCCGAGGCCCUGAAAACCUCUUAUUUGAUUUCCUCGAUUUGCGUGCAUAGUGCGGGCGCGAAGCAGAAAAUUUAUUAUGUGGAAAUAUAUAAAUUUUGUGUUAAAAACUUAUGAAUUUUGAUAAUAAUAUUGAUAUAAUUAAUUUUAGUCAAUACUUUGGGUAAACGGGCCUGGACCCGUGAUGUGACGGUCUCGGAGGAUCCGUAUAAAAAUUAUUGGACCCGGGUGUAUUCCCGGAAUCGAAAUCCGACGUCCCAGACCCGAGUACGGAAUUUUUGAAAGAAAUUAUUUAUCUUAAAUUAAUAUGAGAAAGUUGAAAUGAAAAUGAAUUAGAAAGAGAUGGUAUCGGUCUCGUAUUUUGGUUUCGCCGCGCGCUACAUGUCUUUCAUGAGUGUUAAGCACUUUCUGUGAAGUUUGGUUGAAAACGAACGUCAUUUGACGUGUUUCGGACUAAAAAUGGAUAAUUUUGAAGUUAUGAACUUUGAAAUGAAAAUCAUGAGUUUGGAGGCUUAAUUCUAUGUAAAUUAUAUUAUUUUGGCGAUUCGAUUACAAGAGUAAGUCCGUAUGAUAUUUAUGAGGUUCUAUGUAUAUUUGGGUUGGAGCCCCGAGGGCUCGGGGGAGUUUUGGCUAAGCAUCGGAUUGCAUUUCUCAUGUUUUGGAAUGUUUCUGGUAUAUGGCUUCUGCAAUUUUCAUAAAUGCGAAGCCAAGGAUCGCAGAUGGGAAAUGAGCCCAGGAAGGCCAAUGUUCGCAAAAGCAGACCUUUUUUUUUCAAAUGCGAGGAAGGGGAAUUUGGUCUGGGAUCACAAAUGUGAUCUAAUGCCCGCAAAUGCGAACCUCCCCCAUAUGGCCUAACUUCGCAAAUGCAAAGAAAUAUCUCGCAAAUGCGAGUCCCGCCUAUGAUCUGCCUUGUUACCAAUUGCGAACUAAUCCUCGCAAUUGUGACAUCUGCCAUUGUUUCUGCAUAGUUCGCCUUUCCGAACAAAGUCUCGCAAAUGCGAGAUUCUCACCUGUGCAUUCUAUACUUAGACGAUUUUAAACCUCAUUCUUCUAUUUUUCAAAACUCAAACCUCCAUUAGCGAAUUUCUCUCAACUCAUUCUUUCCCAAAUAAAUUGUAAGUCAACUUUUACUCAGUUUCUUCAAUCUUUAACAUCUUUUAUCAUGAUUUAAAUGGGUAAAAGUGGGGAUUUGGGGCAGAACCUAGGUUUCUCUUAAAAUUUGGGGAUUUGGACCUCAAUUUGGGGUCCGAUUUCAGAACAAAUUGCAUAUAUGAACUCGUGUGGGAAUGGGUAGCCCAAUUUUAGUUCAAACCACGGGUUUUGACCGCGUGGGCCCUGGGAGCAUUUUUGGAAUUUUUGGUAAAACUUUGGGAAAUUCAUUCUUAUGUAUUCAAAUUGUUUUAACUAGCAUUUGUUGAUACAUUUUAGUAAAUUGUGAUUAGAUUGGACCGGUUUUGUGGCGAAUUCGAGGGGUAAAGCUAUCCUAGAGGCCUGAGUUGAGUUUGGAGCUUUCGAGGUAAGUGUUUCAUCUAACUUUGGCUUGAGGGAAUAGGAUUAAGACAAUAUUUUAUAGGUUCUAAGUGUAGUCAGUGUAUAGGUAUGGUGACGGUUACCUAUGCACCCGAGUCUAGCAUGACCGUGAGUCGUAAUUGCUUUUCGAUUCGAAAGAGGUGAGACAAUUGAGUAAAUUACUUGUUAAAUGGAUUAUGAAGUGAUAGUUGAGGAGCAAAUGAGUUAAAGAAGGAAGUGUGGUAUUUUUCCCUUGCCGGGACUUAUUAUUUAAUUGUUUUCCCUUAGCGGGACUUAUUGCUGAAUUGUUUUCCCUUGCGGGGACGAGUAGGCUGUAACUAUUAAUUUCUCCCUUGCGAGGAUAUUUUUGGAUGUUAGUUGUACCCUUGGUGGGUUCGAUAGUUAUAUUGUUGUUCUUCCCUAGUGGGACCUCCCUUUGAAAAGAUUAUUUGAGAUAAUCAAUUAUAAUACGAGUUCAUGCGGCGCGCCGUCCACUUAUAUACUACAUUACGGGAUUGUGUGGUGCGCCGUCCACUUAUUGUUAUUGGCCUGAGAUGCCGGUGACAUUGUGCACGGAGAAUACGGGUUCAUGUUGGGUUCGUGCGGCCCACCGUCCACUUAUACAUUAUAUUAUGGGAUUGUGUGGAGCGUUGUCCACUUAUUGAUAUUGGCCUGGCAUGCAGGUGAGAUUGUGCAUGGAGAAUACGGGUUCUUCUGGUAUGCCGUCCAUAUAUAUAUUACAUUACGGGAUCGUGUGGCGCACCGUCCACUUAUUAUUAUUUGCCUGAGAUAUCGGUGACACUGUGCACGAAGAAUACAGGUUCGUGUAGCGUGUGGCGUCGACUUAUGUACUACACUAUGGGAUUGUAUGGCGUACCGUCCACUCACGUUAUACAUAUGGGAUCGUGUGGCGCGCCGUCCUUUGUAGAUAUGUGUAUUGCAAAAACGCGGAAUAGAUAUGCUGUAUUUUCUAAUGUUCCAUUUUCAUCUAGUACUCCCCGAUAGCAUGCCCCCUCCCAUUUUUACUUGUGUUAUCUUGAUAUUAUUUAUUUCCCGUACUUGUAUAUCAUAUUUGUACAGGUUAAUUGUAGUAGGUCCUGUCUAGCCUCGUUAGUACUUCCACGGGGUUAGGCCAGGCACUCACCAGGCCAUGUGAUCGGUUAUGCCGAUGCUACAGUUUCGUGCUCUUUUUGGUCAAAAUACAGCUUACGGACUGCAAUAAGAGCUUGGGAUCGUGCCUUCAGUCCAGAGACUCCUAGGUAGUUCGCUGGCAUUUCGGGUCUUGAGUCUCUUCUAUUUCAAUUAAGUUUGUUUUUUCAUUGUAUCGAAACAGACUCCUUAUGUAUUUUCUUUCAAACUCUUAUUUGUAGUAAUUCAUAGUAGUCCUUGAGUAUUGUGACACUAAAUCACUGAUAGAGGAUGAUGUUAAGUUUUCCAAAUUUUUCUUUCAUUUAAUAUUUAAUUUAGACUUCCGCUUGAAAUUAUUGUUUUAUUAUUAUUAGAUGUUGAAAAUUAGUUGAAAAGGGUAUGUUUAAGUUGACUUGCCUAGCUCCGACAUACGGCGCCAUCACGACCCCCGAUGGUGGAAAAUUCGGGUCAUGGCAAGUUGUAUCAGAGCACUAGGUUACUUGGGUCUCACAACUCACAGACAAGCUCCGUAGAGUCUCAGGGAUCGGUACGGAGAUGUCUGUAUUUCUGCCCAGAGGCUACAGAGUUAGGAAAAAUUUCACUUUGUUCAUUCUUCUCGUACAAUUCUGUUUCUCAAAUGUUGACCGUCGUUCUACUUUAUUCUUUCGCAGAUUGCAAGAACAUGUGCGUCGUCUUCUUCUGCGUAGAAGCCCGAGCUCCCAGCACUGCUCCCGCGAAGGGCAGGGGCCGAGUCCGAGCAAAAGGCCGUGGUAGGGGUAGAGCUCAGCCCCAGGCAGCAAUUCAUGAGGUGGAGCCUCAUAUUGACUUUGACGAGGAGGUUCCUGCCCUAGCAGCUCUAGUGGGCCCAGCUCAGGUCCCAGGAGGGGUUAUGCUUUCCCCGGAUCUCGAGGACGCUCUUGUCCGUGUAGCAGGUUUUAUGGACAGUGUUGCUAUAGCAGGUUUACUACCGGUAGCACUAGCCACCUCUUAGGCUGGAGAAGGCGUUCAAGCUUUUGCUACACGCUCUCUGGAGCAAGUAACUCCCCAGACUCAGGUUCCAGUGGUUCAACCCAUAGUGGCAGCUCAGAUAGGUAUUACCGCUCAGGUCGCUGAUGGAUCGGCCAUGUCUUCGGAUGCUUUAUGGAGACUUUAUCGGUUCUCCAAGCUUUUUACCACCACUUUCAGCGGUACUUCUACAAAGGACUCCCAAGACUUCAUAUGCAGCUAUCUUUAGGUCCUUCAGACCAUUGGUAUUUUAGAGACUAAUGGGGUCGGUUUCGCCACUUUGUGCCUUGCAGGAUCCGCCAAGACUUGGUGGAGAUAUUUCUAUUUAUCCAGGCCAGCAGGGUCGCCAUCAUUGACCUAUGAUCAGUUUUGUGAGCUAGAUCAUGGGGAAGUUUCUCCCAGUUACUCAGAGGGAUGUCCUUCGUAUGCAAUUUGAGCGCCUCCAGCAGGGUUCUAUGUCAGUUAUGCAGUAUGAGACGUGGCUUAUUGAUCUCGCAUGUCAUGCUAUUGUGAUACUCCCCACCGAGAGAAAGAGUGUGUAGAGGUAAGUGGAUGGUUUAGUGCAGCCGAUCCGUGUUCAGAUGGCCAUGAGCACCGGGAGUGAGAUUACAUUUCAGGAGGUGGCGGAUGGCACCAACUCGAUAGAGAUGGUACUUUCUCAGGGAGGUGGUCAGAGGUCUGAUAAGAAGCCUCAAUAUUCUGGUAGGUUCAGUGAUACCCUAUCUGGAGGUAGGGAUUCACAUGACAGAGGCCAUCCCCCGAGGCCGUUCCAGUCAGCCCUCCAGGCUUCUCAUUGUACUCCAGGAGGUCGCAGUUUUCAGUCGCAGUAUUCCCUCCAGCAGCUCUUCAGUUCACCAUCGGUGCCUAUUAGUGCGUAGUCGCUUCGUUAUUCUUAGCAGCCGAGGGCUUGCUUCACUUACCGUGACCUAAGGCACAUUUCCAAGUAUUGCCCUUGAGCUUCCAGCAGUUCACAACAGCAGGGUUCUCGUCCCAUAAUUUAGGCAGCACAUGAUCCACAGGCCGCCCAGUCAGCUAGAGGCGGGGGUAGAGGCCAUAGAGGUAGAGGUAGGGAGCGUAUGGGUGGAGCUUAAACCGCUAAAUGUAAGGGUUAGCCCGCAUCAGAUCGUCCAAGAGAUACAGUUCAGGGAUGAGGGUGUCAGCCCCGUUGUUAUGCUUUGCCGGCCAGGCUGGAGGUCGAGUCAUCAGAUGCUGUGAUCACAAGUACCAUUCUGAAUUGUAUUAGAGAUGUUUCAGUGUUGUGUGACAAUGGAUCUACGUAUUUAUACGUGUCACCUUAUUUUUCACACUAUUUGGUUAUGCCUAGUGAGGCCUAGGGUAUUCCUUUAUAUGUGUCCACACCGAUGAGUGAUUCUAUAGUGGUGGACCGAGUGCAUUGUUCGUGAGUUGUGGUAUUUGAGGGUCUUGAGACCCAUGAUGACUUAUUGUUCUUAGGUAUGGUAUAUUUGACGUCAUAUUGGGUAUGGAUUAGUUGUCUCCCGUGUCAUGCCAUUUUGGAUUGUCCCACCAAAAUCGUGACCUUGGCUUUACUAGAAUUGCCCCAUUUAUAAUGAAAGGGGAUUUGAAAUUGUUUGACCCGAAGCGUAAUAUGGUAUGUGAAGGCUUGACGCAUGGUUAAGAAAGGGGUGUUUAGCUCAAUGGGCGUAUGAUCGCGACUCCAGUGCAGAGGUUCCUUCUGUUGGUUCUGUUCCUAUUGUUCAGAAGCUUCCCCGAUAUUAUUCCAUCAGGCCUACCGGGCAUGCGGCCUGACAGGGAUAUAAAUCUUUGUAUUGAUCUAGAGCUGGGCACUCGGCCUAUUUUUGUUUCAUCGUAUCGCAUGGACCUUCCAGAGUUGAGAGAGUCAAAGGAAGAGCUUUAGGAUUUUCUUGAUAAGGGUUUCAUUAGGCCCAGAGUUUCGCCUUGGGGUGCACCAACGUUAUUGCGAAGAAGAAGGACGGUUCGAUGAGGAUAUGUUUCGAUCAUUUUAAGAGCACCAGGGUGUUUUCAAGGAUAUAUUUGGAAUAUAGUUUCCACUAGUUGAGGAUUUGGGCAUUCGGUGUCCUUAAGAUUCCGCACAGGCAUUAGUUUUUCUCACGGGAUCAAGACCUUAUACUGUUUAUUGUGAUUCUUCCCGUAUCGGGCUUGGCGCAGUGUUGAUGCAGAAUGGCAAGGUCAUAUCAUACGCUUUGAGGCAGUUGAAGAUCCACGAGAAGAAUUAUCCAGUUCAUGAUCUAGAGUUGGCAGCCAUUGUUCAUGACUUGAAGAUCUGGAGGCAUUAUUUAUGAGGUGUGACGUGCGUGGUGUACACAGAUCACAAGAGCCUUCGGUACUAGUUCAAGUAGAAAGAGUUGAAUUUGAGAUAGCGGAGGUGGUUGGAGUUGCUGAAGGACUAUGAGGUUUCUAUCUUAUACCACCCGAGGAAGGCCAAUGUGGUGGCCGAUGCAUUGAGUAGAAAGUUCGCAAGCAUGGAUAGUCUUGCCUUUAUUCCCGUCAGCCAGAGACCUCUUGCCUUAGAUGUUCAGGCCUUGGCCAAUAGAUUUGUGAGAUUGGAUAUUUCUGAGCCAACAGGGUGCUAGCUUGCACGGUUGCUCGCUCGCUAUUGAUAGAGCAUAUCCUGUAGUGGCUGUUUGAUGAGCUUCAUUUAUGUGUUCUGAGAGACACGAUGCAGCGGGGAGGGGACAAGGAAAUGACCUUGGGAGAUGAUGGCAUAUUGAGAUUUCAGUGGGCGAGUUUGUGUGCCCUAUGUUGAUGGUUUUCGACAAUUGAUCUUAGCGGAAGCCCACAGUUCUCGGUAUUCUAUUCACCCAGGCGCCGCAAAGAUGUAUCAAGAUUUGAGACAGCACCAUUAGUGGUGCAUAAUGAAGAAAGACAUUGUUGAAUAUGUGGCUCGUCGACUUAAUUUUCAGCAGGUGAAGUAUGAUCCUCAGAGGCCCGGUGGGUUAUUUCAGAGGAUUGAGUUUCCGACUUGAAGUGGGAGAGAAUCACCAUCGAUUUUGUUGUUGGCCUUCCGAUGAAUUAGAAGAAGUUUGAUUCUAUAUCGGUUAUUUUUUAUAGGUAGACCAAGUCAGUGUAUUUUAUUCCAGUUGCCACCACCUAUUCAUCCGAGAGAUACGCUGAGAUUUAUAUCAGAGAGAUCGUUCGCUUUCAUGGACUGCCCAUAUCUAUUAUUUUUGACCGGGGUCCGCAGUUUACCUCGAAUUUUUUGAGAGCGGUACAGCAUUAGUUGGGCACCCAGGUUCAGUUGAGUACAACAUUUCACCCCAGACGGGCGGUCAGUUCGACAAUAAUAUUCAAAUUCUUGAGGACAUGCUCCGAGCCUGUGUUAAUUAUUUUGAAGGCUCGUGGGACCAGUUCUUGCCUUUAGCAGUGUUUUCCUACAACAACAACUACCAGUCCAGUAUUCAUAUGGCUCCGUAUGAUGCGUUGAUGGUAGGCGGUGUUAGUCCCCAGUCGGCUGGUUUGAGUCGGGAGAGGCUCGGCUAUUGGGUAUAGAUCUAGUACAGGAGGCCUUGGAUAAGGUCAAGAUCAUUCAGGAAAGACUUCGGUCAGCUCAGUCUAGGUAGGAGAUUUAUGUAGAUCGUAAGGUCAUGAAUGUUGCUUUUAUGAUUAGUGAGCGAGUAUUGCUCCGGGUAUUGCCUAUGAAGGGCGUGAUGCGAUUCAGUAAUAAGGGAAAGCUUAGCCCUAGGUUUAUUGGCCCAUUUGAGAUUCUCGAACGCAUGGGGAAGGUUACUUAUCGACUUGCCUUGCCUCCUUGCUUGUAAGCCGUGCAUUCGGGUUUUCACGUAUCCAUGCUAGGAGGUAUCACGGCGAUUCCGCCCACGUGCUAGAUUUGAGUACUGUCCAAUUGAAGAAGGAUCAGUUUUAUGAGGAGGAGCCGGUGGCUAUUUUUGACUUGCAGGUUUGAUAGUUGAGGUCGAGGAGGUUUCCUUCAGUGCGUGUUUAGUCGACAGGUCAGCCUCAUGAGACAUCAACCUGGGAGUCCGAGUCCGAUAUACAGAGCCGUUAUCCCCAUCUGUUCCCCGACUCAGUCACUUCUUUCUUUCGUCAAUUCGAGGACGAACAGUUAUUUUAUAGGUGGAGGACGUGACGACCCAAAGGGUGAUCACUGUAAUUCUCCCUUUUUUGGUGCUUUCGAGACCUAAAAAAUCUCUUAUUUAGUUGCCUCGAUUUUCUUGCACAGUACGAGCGCAAAGCCAGAAAAUUUUUAUGUGGAAAUAUAUGAAUGUUGUGUUAAAAACUAUGAAUUUUGCUAAUAAUAUUGAUAUAGUUGACUUUUAUCAAUAUUUUGGGUAAACCGAUCCAGACCCGCGAUAUGACGGUCCUGGAGGGUCCGUAGAAAAAUAUGGGGCCCGGGCGUAUUUCUGGAAUCGAAAUCUGAGGUCCCAGACCCGAGUACGGAAUUUUUGAAAGAAAUUGUUUAUACGAAAUUAAUAUGAUAAAUUGAAAUGAAAAUGAAUUAGAAAGUGACGGUAUGGGGCUUGUAUUUUGGUUCUGACGCCCGGUACAGGUCUUAAAUGAGCGUUAAGCAUUUUCUAUGAAGUUUGAUUGAAAACGAAAGUCAUUUCACGUGUUUCGGACUAAAGAUGGAAAAUUUGGAAGUUAUGAACUUUGAAAUUAAAAUCACGAGUUUGGAAGCUUUAUUCUAUGUAAAUGAUGUUAUUUUGGCGAUUCGAAUGCACGAGUAAGUCCGCAAGACAUUUUUGAGGUCGUGUGUAUGUUUGGGUUGGAGCCCCGAGGGCUCGGGAGAUUUUUUGCUAGGCAUCGGAUUGCAUUUCUCAUGUUUUGGAAAUUCUUGUAUAAGGCUUCUGCAAUUUUCGCGAAUGCGAAGCCAAGGAUCGCAAAUGCGAAAUGAGCCCAGGAAGGCCAAUGUUUUCAAAAGCGAACCUUUCUUCACAAAUGCGAGGAAGGGGAGUUUGGCAUGGGAUCGCAAAUGCGAUCAAAUAUCCGCAAAUGCGAACCUCCUCCAGAUGGGCUAACAUCCAAAAUGCGAAGAAAUAUUUCGCAAAUGCGAGUCCCGCCUAUGAUCCACCUUGUUUGCAAUUACGAACAAAUCCUUGCAAUUGCGACAUCUGCCCUUGUUUCUGCAUAGUUUGCAUUUGCAAAAAAUGUAUCGCAAAUGCGAUAUCUGCACCUAUGCAUACUUAAACGAUAUUAAACUUCAUUCUUCAUUUUUUUCAAAACUGAAACAUCCAUUGGCGAUUUUCUCUCAACUCAUUCUUUCCCAAAUCAAUUGUAAGUCUACUUUUACUCAAUUUCUUAAAUCUUUACCAUCUUUUACCAAGAUUUCAUCUUAAAAUCAAGGCAUUUAAUGGGUAAAAAUGAGGUUUUGGGGUAGAACCUACGUUUUUCUUAAAAUUGGGGAUUUGGACCUCAAUUUCGGGUCCGAUUAAAAAAAACAUUGUAUAUAUAUGCACUCGUGGGGGAAUGGGUAACCCCGAUUUGGUUCGAACAUCGGGUUUUGACCACGUAGGUCCGGGGGCAUUUUGGGAAUUUUUUGGUAAUACUUUGGGAAAUUCAUUAUUAUGCAUUCAAAUUGAUUUACCUAGCAUUUGUUGAUAAAUAUGAGUAAAUUGUGAUUACAUUCGACCGGUUUUAUUGCGAAUUCUAGGGGUAAGGCUAUCCUAGAGGUGUGAGUUGAGUUUGGAGCUUUCGAGGUAAGUGUUUCAUCUAACUUUGGCUUGAGGGAAUAGGAUUAGGACAAUAUUUUGUAUGUGCUAAGUGUAGUCGGUGUAUAUGCAUGGUGACGGUUACCUAUGCACCCAAGUCUAGCAUGACCGUGAGUCGUAAUUGCUUUUCAAUUUGAAAUAGGUGAGACAAUUGAGUAAAUUACUUGUUAAAUGGAUUAUGAAGUGAUAGUUGAGGAGAAAAUGAGUUAAAGAAGGAAGUGUGGUAUUUUUCCCUUGCAAGAACUAAUUAUUCUAUUGUUUUCUCUUACCGUGACUUAUGCUGAAUUGUUUUCCCUUGCCGGGACGAGUAGGCUGUUACUACUAAUUUCUCCCUUGCAAGGAUAUUUUCGGUUGUUAGAUAUACCCUUUAUGGGUUCGAUUGAUAUAUUGUUGUUCUUCCCUAGUGGGACCUCCAUUUGAAAAGAUUAUUUGAGAUAAUAAAUUAUAAUAUGGGUUCGUGCAGCUCGCCGUCCACUUAUAUAUUACAUUAUUGGAUUGUGUGGCGCGUCGUCCACUUAUUGUUAUUGGCCUGGCAUGCCGGUGACAUUGUGCAUGGAGAAUACGGGUUCGUGUGGUACGUCGUCAACUUAUAUAUUACAUUACGGGAUUGUAUGGCGCACCGUCCACUUAUUACUAUUGGCAUGAGAUGUUUGUGCACGAAGAAUACGGGUUCGUGUGGCGUGCCAUCCACUUACAUACUACACUGUGGGAUUGUGUGGCAUACCGUCCACUUAUAUUAUACAUUAUGGGAUCGUGUGGCGCACCAUCCUUUGUAGGUAUGUGUAUCGCAAACACCCGGAAUAGAUCUGCUGUUGUUUCCGAUCUUCCAUUUUCAUCUAGUACUCCCCGAUAGCAUGCCCCCUCCCAGUUUUACUUGUGUUAUCUUGAUAUUAUUUAUUUCCCGUACUUGUAUAUCAUAUUUGUACAGGUUAAUUGUAGUAGGUCCUGUCUAGCCUCGUUAGUACUUCCACGGGGUUAGGCCAGGCACUCACCAGGCCAUGUGAUCGGUUAUGCCGAUGCUACAGUUUCGUGCUCUUUUUGGUCAAAAUACAGCUUACGGACUGCAAUAAGAGCUUGGGAUCGUGCCUUCAGUCCAGAGACUCCUAGGUAGUUCGCUGGCAUUUCGGGUCUUGAGUCUCUUCUAUUUCAAUUAAGUUUGUUUUUUCAUUGUAUCGAAACAGACUCCUUAUGUAUUUUCUUUCAAACUCUUAUUUGUAGUAAUUCAUAGUAGUCCUUGAGUAUUGUGACACUAAAUCACUGAUAGAGGAUGAUGUUAAGUUUUCCAAAUUUUUCUUUCAUUUAAUAUUAUCUAGCCUCGUCACUACUUCGACGGGGUUAGGUCAGGCGCUCACCAGAACAUGGGAUCGGUUAUGCUGAUGCUACACUUCUGUGCCCUUUUGUGCAUAGGUCAAAAGACAGCUUACAGACUGCAAUAGUAGCUUGGGAUCGUGCCUUCAGUCCAGAGACUCCUAGGUAGUUCGGCGGCGUUUGCGGGCCUUGAGUAUCUUCUAUUUCAAUUUUGUUUGUUUUUUGUUAGGUUUUAUGCCUGUCACUAGANNNNNNNNNNNNNNNNNNNNNNNNNNNNNNNNNNNNNNNNNNNNNNNNNNNNNNNNNNNNNNNNNNNNNNNNNNNNNNNNNNNNNNNNNNNNNNNNNNNNNNNNNNNNNNNNNNNNNNNNNNNNNNNNNNNNNNNNNNNNNNNNNNNNNNNNNNNNNNNNNNNNNNNNNNNNNNNNNNNNNNNNNNNNNNNNNNNNNNNNNNNNNNNNNNNNNNNNNNNCAAAAGAGUAGAUAAAGAGAUACAAAUUUAGCUCUAUGAACAACUCAAAGUUGUCUCUCAAAUGGCUCAACAAAAGCUCUAAAAUGAUGCUCAAAUAAAAUCAAUAUGUAUAUCAAUAUUGGGAGGUGUUGUGUUUUUCAAAUCAGCUCAAAAGACCUCUUUAUAGGGGUUAGGGGGUGCAAGUCCGUUGCUUAAUUGACAAUCAAUUAUGCUGAUUUUAUGNNNNNNNNNNNNNNNNNNNNNNNNNNNNNNNNNNNNNNNNNNNNNNNNNNNNNNNNNNNNNNNNNNNNNNNNNNNNNNNNNNNNNNNNNNNNNNNNNNNNNNNNNNNNNNNNNNNNNNNNNNNNNNNNNNNNNNNNNNNNNNNNNNNNNNNNNNNNNNNNNNNNNCCAACGUUCCGAAAAUCAGAAGCUGAUUUUCUGCUGAAUAAUCGUUUACUGGAUUCUGCAUAAUCGAUUAUUCUGUUCCAGUGUUCAAACACUGGCAACGUUCUACAGCAUAAUCGAUUAUGCAGAUUGUAUAAUCGAUUAUUCUAGUCCAGAUUUGAAAACUUNNNNNNNNNNNNNNNNNNNNNNNNNNNNNNNNNNNNNNNNNNNNNNNNNNNNNNNNNNNNNNNNNNNNNNNNNNNNNNNNNNNNNNNNNNNNNNNNNNNNNNNNNNNNNNNNNNNNNNNNNNNNNNNNNNNNNNNNNNNNNNNNNNNNNNNNNNNNNNNNNNNNNNNNNNNNNNNNNNNNNNNNNNNNNNNNNNNNNNNNNNNNNNNNNNNNNNNNNNNNNNNNNNNNNNNNNNNNNNNNNNNNNNNNNNNNNNNNNNNNNNNNNNNNNNNNNNNNNNNNNNNNNNNNNNNNNNNNNNNNNNNNNNNNNNNNNNNNNNNNNNNNNNNNNNNNNNNNNNNNNNNNNNNNNNNNNNNNNNNNNNNNNNNNNNNNNNNNNNNNNNNNNNNNNNNNNNNNNNNNNNNNNNNNNNNNNNNNNNNNNNNNNNNNNNNNNNNNNNNNNNNNNNNNNNNNNNNNNNNNNNNNNNNNNNNNNNNNNNNNNNNNNNNNNNNNNNNNNNNNNNNNNNNNNNNNNNNNNNNNNNNNNNNNNNNNNNNNNNNNNNNNNNNNNNNNNNNNNNNNNNNNNNNNNNNNNNNNNNNNNNNNNNNNNNNNNNNNNNNNNNNNNNNNNNNNNNNNNNNNNNNNNNNNNNNNNNNNNNNNNNNNNNNNNNNNNNNNNNNNNNNNNNNNNNNNNNNNNNNNNNNNNNNNNNNNNNNNNNNNNNNNNNNNCAAUUAAAGCAUACUAGAAGGUGAAGACAUUUCCCCUUAUUCGAUGCAUAUCGCCUAAAUUCUUCCCCCUUUAGGCAUUAGCAAAAAGAGUAUACCAAUUUUUAUUUAAACUAUUGACGAUACCAAUUGUUAGAUAAAAAAAAUUAUAUCAACAUCAAAUAAUACCGAACGUUAGUUAAAACAUACCAACCAUAAUAACGGUCAUUUUUCGCGAAUAUACCAACUGUUAUUUAAACUAAAAAUAUUCAUCAGAACAUGAAUCAAUCAUUUAAUAUAAAAAUAAUUGAUACAAUUGUUAUUCAAAAUAAACUUAUCAAAAACAUGAAUUAAUAAUUAAUAUCAAUUGUUAGCACAUAUCAACUAUUAUGUUUUUAUCAAANNNNNNNNNNNNNNNNNNNNNNNNNNNNNNNNNNNNNNNNNNNNNNNNNNNNNNNNNNNNNNNNNNNNNNNNNNNNNNNNNNNNNNNNNNNNNNNNNNNNNNNNNNNNNNNNNNNNNNNNNUCUACUACGAUUUUGUAGUCUUCAAGCACACCUGCAAACGUACCUAAAAAUAGGUUUUCGGUACCCAACUUCUUUUGGGUCCUUGAGGGUUAGGCAUAUAAUAAUCAUAAUCAAAACAUGAAUCUCUAUGUUUAGUAAAACAUACGGGUGCAAUGUGUCCUACCCGGUUACAAUAAUGACAUCUAACAUUCGGGUUGUGCAUAUGUCUUGGUUGAGCCAAAAACGUUCUAGGUGAUCUAAAGUCGUUAUUCCUAGACGUAUNNNNNNNNNNNNNNNNNNNNNNNNNNNNNNNNNNNNNNNNNNNNNNNNNNNNNNNNNNNNNNNNNNCUAACAUUCGGGUUGUGCAUAUGUCUUGGUUGAGCCAAAUACGUUCUAGGUGAUCUAAAGUCGUUAUUCCUAGAAGCGUUGAAAUUCCUAGAGUUAUUUUUAGGUGGUCUAAAAUUAUUAAUUUUUGACUCAUUAAUAAAAAUCCUAGAAUCAUUUCUAGGUGGCCUAAAGUGAUUAAUUCUAGGCUCAUUAAUAAAAAUCCUAAAAUCAUUUCUAGGUGGUCUAAGAUGAUUAAUUCUAGACUCAUUUACAUAAUUCCUAGAAUUAUUUCUAGGUUGUGCAUCGCAAUUUCUAAUAUGAUUCUUAUUCUUUCUACGUCUUUUAUUUUUCCUGGGCUUUUCCUUCUUAGUCUCUUCAACUGUUUUAGGCUCUUCUACACUAAGUUUUUCUAGUGUGUUCCUAAGAUCUAAGUUCUCUAUUUUCAACGAAUCGCAAGAUGAGCAAUUANNNNNNNNNNNNNNNNNNNNNNNNNNNNNNNNNNNNNNNNNNNNNNNNNNNNNNNNNNNNNNNNUUUGUGCAUCACAAUUUCUAACAUGAUUCUUAUUCUUUUUACGCCUUUUAUUUUUCUUGGGCUUUUUCUUCUUAGUCUCUUCAAUUGUUUUUGGCUCUUCUACACUAUGUUUUUCUAGUGUGUUCCUAAGAUCUAAGUUCUCUAUUUUCAACGAAUCGCAAGAUGAGCAAUNNNNNNNNNNNNNNNNNNNNNNNNNNNNNNNNNNNNNNNNNNNNNNNNNNNNNNNNNNNNNNNNNNNNNNNNNNNNNNNNNNNNNNNNNNNNNNNNNNNNNNNNNNNNNNNNNNNNNNNNNNNNNNNNNNNNNNNNNNNNNNNNNNNNNNCUAUUUUCAAAGAAUCACAAGAAGAACAAUUAGAACUUUGACCAAUUGAAGAUGCUUCAUUCAUCGCCUUGAUUUUAUUUUUAAGAUCAAUAUUGUCAUUUUUAAAAAAAUCAUUUUCUUCUUCUAAAACUUUGAUUUUAUCCUUAGCCACUUUGGCGAUUUUUGAAGUCCUUUUCAAUUCACCAAGUAAUUCUUUAAAAGCUUCUUGUAAUUCUUCGAAAGAGCAAGAAUUAGAAGUGCUUACCUCUUCUUCUUCGUCGGCCAUGAAGCAUAGGGCAGUCGUUUCAUCGCACGAGUGGUCCGAGUCCCAUGUCACAUGCUUUUGGACUUGAGGCAUACCUUCAUAAAUGGCUUCAAGUUUAUCCCACAUUUCUUUGGCGGCUGUGCAAUAAGAAAUCUUCCGAUAGUCAUCCGUAUUCACCGCACAAUAUAACAUAUUGAUCGCCUUGGCGUUGUAUUCAUUCUUCUCCUUCGGAGCCAUGGCUUCCCCAACUUUCUUUGUCGGCNNNNNNNNNNNNNNNNNNNNNNNNNNNNNNNNNNNNNNNNNNNNNNNNNNNNNNNNNNNNNNNNNNNNNNNNNNNNNNNNNNNNNNNNNNNNNNNNNNNNNNNUGUGUGAUUGAAUGAAGAUUCUCAUCCGCUCUUUCCAGUAUGUAUAAUUUCUUCCAUCAAAAAAUGGAGGCCUCUCGGUGGAGUGUCCUUCGAUCAUUAUUCCUGUUUUAAAUAUUCUCAACAAAAAAAAAUAUAUCGCUCUCAACCGGUUAAGGCUUUCAGAGAGUUAGGCUCUGAUACCAAUUGUUAGGUUUAAUGCCCGUCACUAGGGGGGGGUGAAUAGUGCUGCACGAGAAUAUUGAUAAAUAUUGCGGAAAUAAAAAUUGCAGGAAUAAAAUAAAUUCAGUAAUAAAAAUAGCAAGGAAAGAACACACCGAAUUUAUCCUGGUUCACCACAACUUGUGGUUAGUCCAGUCCCCGAGAGACUCUCUCGAGAUUCCACUANNNNNNNNNNNNNNNNNNNNNNNNNNNNNNNNNNNNNNNNNNNNNNNNNNNNNNNNNNNNNNNNNNNNNNNNNNNNNNNNNNNNNNNNNNNNNNNNNNNNNNNNNNNNNNNNNNNNNNNNNNNNNNNNNNNNNNNNNNNNNNNNNNNNNNNNNNNNNNNNNNNNNNNNNNNNNNNNNNNNNNNNNNNNNNNNNNNNNNNNNNNNNNNNNNNNNNNNNNNNNNNNNNNNNNNNNNNNNNNNNNNNNNNNNNNNNNNNNNNNNNNNNNNNNNNNNNNNNNNNNNNNNNNNNNNNNNNNNNNNNNNNNNNNNNNNNNNNNNNNNNNNNNNNNNNNNNNNNNNNNNNNNNNNNNNNNNNNNNNNNNNNNNNNNNNNNNNNNNNNNNNNNNNNNNNNNNNNNNNNNNNNNNNNNNNNNNNNNNNNNNNNNNNNNNNNNNNNNNNNNNNNNNNNNNNNNNNNNNNNNNNNNNNNNNNNNNNNNNNNNNNNNNNNNNNNNNNNNNNNNNNNNNNNNNNNNNNNNNNNNNNNNNNNNNNNNNNNNNNNNNNNNNNNNNNNNNNNNNNNNNNNNNNNNNNNNNNNNNNNNNNNNNNNNNNNNNNNNNNNNNNNNNNNNNNNNNNNNNNNNNNNNNNNNNNNNNNNNNNNNNNNNNNNNNNNNNNNNNNNNNNNNNNNNNNNNNNNNNNNNNNNNNNNNNNNNNNNNNNNNNNNNNNNNNNNNNNNNNNNNNNNNNNNNNNNNNNNNNNNNNNNNNNNNNNNNNNNNNNNNNNNNNNNNNNNNNNNNNNNNNNNNNNNNNNNNNNNNNNNNNNNNNNNNNNNNNNNNNNNNNNNNNNNNNNNNNNNNNNNNNNNNNNNNNNNNNNNNNNNNNNNNNNNNNNNNNNNNNNNNNNNNNNNNNNNNNNNNNNNNNNNNNNNNNNNNNNNNUCAUUGUUUGUCAUUCAUCAAAACCUAUACCUGAAAAUCAUGCUAAUACAACCAAAGCGCACAUAUCAUAGAUAGAAUGAUUUUCUACAUUCAUUGUGUCGAAACAGACUCCUUAUGUAUUUUCAUUCAAACUCUUAUUUGUAGUUAUUCAUAGUAGUCCUUGAGUACUGUGACACUAAAUCUUGGAUAGACGAUGAUGUUAAGUUUUCAAAAUUAUUUUUCCAUUUAAUAUUUAAUUUAGACUUCCGCUUGAAAUUAUUGUUUUAUUAUUAUUCGAUGUUGAAAAUUAGUUGAAAAGGGUAUGUUUGAGUUGGCUUGCCAAGCUCCGACAGUAGGCGCCAUCACGACCCUUGAUGGUGGGGUUUGGUUCAUGACAAGUUUGUAUCAGAGCACUAGGUUAUUUGGGUCUCACAACUCACAGACAAACUCGGUAGAGUCUGAGGGAUCGGUACGGAGACGUCUGUAUUAGAAAACUAGGUUACUUAGGUCUCACAACUCACGGACAAGCUUGGUAGAGUCUGGGGGAUUGGUACUGAGACGUCUGUAUUUAUCCCCCAGUGUAUUUAUCCCCAAGAGGCUACAGAGUUAGGAAAAAUUUUACUUUGUUCAUUCUUGUCGUGUGAUUCUGUUUCUCAAAUGUUGACCGUCAUUCUACUUUAUUCUUUUGCAGAUGGGAAGAACAUAUGCAUCUUCUUCUUCUGCGUAGAAGCCCGAGCUCCCAGCAGCAGCUUCCGCUAGGGCCAGGGGCCAAGGCUAUGAGAAAGGCCGUGGUAGGGGUAGAGCUCAGCCCUAGGCAGCAGUUCCAGAGGUGGAGCCUCAUAUUGACUUUGACGAGGAGGUUCAUGCCCCAGCAGCUCUAGUGUGGUGCACCGUCGACUUAUAUAUUACAUUACAGGAUCGUGUAGAGCGUCGUCCACUUAUUGUUAUUGUCUUGAGAUGCUGGUGAAAUUGUGCAUGGAGAAUACGGGUUCAUCUGGCUAGCCGUCCACUUAUAUAUUAUUUUACAGGAUCGUGUGGCGCGCCGUCCACUUAUUGUUAUUUGCCUGAGAUGCAGGUGACAUUGUGCACGGAGAAUACGGGUUCGUGUGCGCGCCGUCCACUUAUAUACUACACUAUGGGAUUUUGUGACAUACCGUCCACUCAGAUUAUAUAUUAUGGGAUCGUGUGGCCCGCCGUCCACUGUACAUAUGUGAAUCGCAAAAACCCGGAAUUGAUCUGCUAUUGUUUCUGAUGUUCCAUUUUCAUUUAGUACUCUCCGAUAGCAUGUCCCCUCCCAGUUUUACUUGUGUUAUCUUGUUAUUAUUUCUUUCCCGUACUUGUAUAUCAUAUUUGUACAGGUUAAUUGUAGUAGGUCAUGUCUAGCCUCGUAACUACUUCGCUGGGGUUAGGUUAGGCACUUACCAGCACAUGGGGUCGGUUGUGCUAAUGAUACACUUCCGUGCCAUUUUGUGCACAAGUCACUAGAUAGAUUACGGACUGCAGUAGUAGCUUGGGAGCGUGCCUUCAGUCAAGAGACUCCUAGGUAGUUCGCUGGCGUUCGCGGGUCCUGAGUCUCUUACAUUUCAAUUCUGUUUGUUUUUUUCAUUGUAUCAAAACACACUCCUUAUGUAUUUUCUUUCAAACUCUUAUUUGUAGUAAUUGAUAGUAGUCUGUGACUACUCUGACACUAAAUCUUGGGUAGAGGAUGAUGUUAAUUUUUUCCGCAUUUUUUUCCAUUUAAUAUUAAAUUUAGACAUCCACUUGAAAUUAUUGUUUUAUUAUUAUUAACUGUUGAAAACUAUUUGAAAAGGGUAUGUUUAAGUUGGCUUGCCUAGCUCCGACAGUAGGCGCCAUCACGACCCCCGAUGGUGGGAAAUUCGGGUCGUGGCAGUUUGUGAAACUUAGUCCCUAAAUGGAGGCUUACGUCUUAGGAUUUGGACCAUAGUCAUAACUGCAUGAAGACGACUUCAAAAUUGAAUCCCUCAAAUCCGUUAGAUCUGUUGGGUGAUUUUGGCAUUAGGCCCGUGUCUGCAUUGUGUUUUGGAGGUCCGUAGCUUAUUUAGGCUUCAAACGGCAAAAGUAAGAUUUUUAGAAAAUUGGACCGGUAGUGAAAUUUUUUGUAUCCGGGUCGAAUUCCAAAUCGGAAAGUUGGAGCAGGUUUGUAGUGUGUAAUAUGACUUGUGUUCCAAAAUUAGGGUCAAUCCGACGUGGUUUGGUUAGUUUCAGCAUCAGUGUCGAAUCAAAGGAUAGAUCGUGAUAUUAGCAUUGGUUGAUGUGGUUUGAGGGAUCGACUUGGUUCGUAUUUUAUUUUAGGAUUGGUUGGUAUGUUUGGUUGAUGUCCCAAGAGCCUUGGCUGAGUUUCUAUUACUUAACGGAUGGAAAAUUGGAGCAGUGCAUAUUCUGAAGUUGUUGGAUUUUGGUCAUAAGAGCCUAUGAGCGCAGAUGCGAGAUGAGGGCCGUAUAUUCAAAUUUUGAUGACGUCGUCGAAGAAGCAAAUUUGGGAAGGAAGUCGACUUUCCACAUAAGCGGAUGAUGGAGCACAGAAGCGCAUCCGCAAAUGCGGUUAUGUGCGCAGGUGCAGAAGAUGGUAGUUUAAUGAAAAUUCACAAAUGCGGAAUUUAAUCCAAAAAUGCGGUACCGCUGAAGAGGGUAAUUGACUGAAUGUGCGGUUUAACUGGUAGAAAAAUGGCAAAUUUGGAGGGUUUGAAUUCUUUCUUCAUUUUUUGACUUGAGAGCUCGAAAUUGGUGAUUCUUCGAGUGAUUUAAAGAGAAUGCUUUGGGGUAACAAUUUCUAACUCAUUUUUGGUUGUAUAUCAUUAAUCCAUAGUUAUUUUCUUCAUUAAAUUAAGGAUUUUGUAUGAGAAGUUGGGAAAAUGGAAGAAAACUUCUUCAACCAAAUUUCAUAGUUUUGAUUGGGAUUUAGACAUUGGAUUUAGAUAAUUUUAGUACGAGUGAACUCGCGAGUGAAUGAGUGUUCAUAAUUUGUGACGUUUACUCGAUUCCUAUAAAUGGCCCUGGGGAGGCUUUUUGGGAAAUUUUUUUUAUUUCUGGUGUUAGCUUUAAUUUCAUUAGCGAGAUUAAUUUUAUAUGGUUAUAUUUAUGUUAGGUGGAAUGUCUUUCUUCCCACUUAGACUUGUUGGACUUUUGAAAGACGAUACAUGAACUUUAAAUUUUUCUAUUUGAACACUCGAACUUGAUAGAAUAAGUACUAUAAAUAUAUCCAAUAGUGCGUGUAUAUCAAUUACGCUAGCAUGUACAAGACGUCAUAUACUAGAUUAUUUAUUAUUUGAUCCGUGUUAUUUGUGGGUCCUAUUUUUAAAUAACAAAUAAACAAAAAAGAAGUUGCAAAUUUAAAAAGGUAAAAAGAAAGAGAGAAAAUGACUUGAAGCUAUUACUCCGUUCACCCACAUCUCACGUCUUCUUCAUUCACCCACCUCUAUUCCUUUCGUUAUUUUUAUUCUUCUAUUUUCUCUCUAACUUCUAAAUCUAAUUCACAAUACCAUUAUACCCAAGGUUAGACUAGAAAAAUAAAUUUAAUUUUGGAAUUUCAGAAAAAAUCAAUACGUAUCCAUUGUUCUAAAAAGCUUUGAAAACCUCAUGUUUGAGGACAAAAGGCACCAAUUUUCCAAUUAGCUUGGUAAUAUGAUGGACCUUGGAUGCGAGAGCAACAAAAAUCAAACUCCACCACUUCCCGAGCAACUCCCCAAGGAAAUUCUGGUAAUGAUAUCAAAUCAGACGGCGUCAACCUGUAGCACGGUGCUUUAAUAGUGCAAGCAACUCAGAAAAAUAGAUGCCUCGCCAAGACUUCUAAAAUGUACCGCCGAUUAUUUCUCCGUGAAACCCCUCAUUGAUACAUUUCGUUUUAACUUCACCAUUGCUCCACCAUUUUGUUACAAUCAUGGAUAUAAUUUCAGAACCUGGAUGUAAUAUUCUUUUUAUAAAACAUUUUUUAAUUUAUUCCAUAUUGAUAAAGUAUUUUUGACCAUAUUAUUACAUUCACACGCAUUUUUUGCAUGACUAACAUGCAUUUUGUCCACAUCACAUUUGUCACUUCCACAUGUGCAUGGUCGACGGUCAAAUGUGUUUAUUAGUUAAGGGAAUCAUGAGUUUGAAUGUUCAAAUGGGAAAAUCUAAAGUUUAUGUGUCGUCUUUCAAAAGACCUACAAGUCAAAUUGGAAAGGAAGCCAUUACGCUUUUGGGCUUCAGGGAAUAUGAUUAGGAUGAUAUUUUCUAUGUGCUAUGUGAAGUCGGUGUAUAGGUAUGGUGACAGCUACCUAUGCGCCCGAGUCUAGCAUGAAUGUGAGUCAUAUUUGCUAUUAAAAUUUCGAAAGAAGUGGAUAAUUGUGAUAAUUACUUGUUAAAUGAACUAUGAAGUGAUGGUUGAGAAACAAAUGAACUAAAAAAGGAAUUUUGGCAUUUUUCCCUUGCCGGGACUCAUUGUUGAGCUGUUUUCCCUUGUCGCGACCUAUUGUUGAGCUGUAUUCAGCAAAUGAACUAAAGAAGGAAUUUUGGUAUUUUUCCUUUACCAGGACUUAUUGUUAAGUUGUAUUCCCUUGCCGAGACUUAUUGUUGAGUUACUCCCCCUUGCCGGAAUAUUUUAUCUUGUUAUAUAUUCCUUUCCCGUUUGGUUGUGACCAUUAUUUGGGUGAGUAAGAGAGAGAUUAUGCACGAAGGAUCUUUCCGUGUCAUGUUUCUUCAUUAUUUGAGCACGAAGGGUCAUUCCGUGUCUUGAUGUGAGAGUAUUAUAAGGAAAGAACGAAGGGUGAUACCGUGCGCUAUGUAUUGAGAGUAAAAGCACGAAGGGUGAUGCCGUGCACCAUGUUUUGAGAGUAAAAGCAUGAAGGGUGAUGUUGACAGUUUUAGUGAGAAAUGAGAUUAAAAGCACAAAGGGUGGUGCCGUGCAGUUGUUGAUUCACUAGCUUUCUCUAUUUUAUGUUAUAUAUUAAGUUCCAUUUCUUGUUUGUUGGAUUCGUCAUUGAACUGUUACACCCCAGCAUGUCCCCUUCCCAUUAUCUAUUUAAGUUUUUAUUAUCUUUCCGUUAUCGUACGUAUAUUUGUGCAGGUUGAUUGUGGUAGGUCCAGUUUAGCCUCGCCACUACCUCGCCGGGGUUAGAUCGGGCGCUUACCAGUACAUUCGGUUAGUUGUGCUGAUACUACACUUCUCUGCCAUUUUGUGCACAGGUCAGGAUACCGCCUAUGGACCGCAGCAGUAGUUAGGGAGCGAGCCUUCAGUCCCGAGACUCCGAAGCAGUUCGCUGGCGUUCGCGGGCCCUGAGUCUCCUCUAUCUCUUCCAGUUUAUUUUUAUUGUAUCAAAAUAGACUUGUAUGUAUUUCUUUUAGACUGUUGUUUUCGGUACUCUUUUAGUAGUCCGCGAGUAGUGACACGAGAUACUGGGUAGAGGCAUGUUACAAAUUUCCCUCAAUUUGUUAUUAUUUCUUUUAAAAGUCUUCCGCGUGAUUUUAAUUAAUUAUUUCAGUAUUUAUAUUGUUUUAGAUUAAGGUUUUUGUGAAAAUGUUCACAAAUGGUUAGCUUGCCUAUCCUAUAUAGUAGGCGCCAUCACGACUCCCGAUGGUGGGAAAAAUUCGGGUCAUGACAAUUCCCAAUUGUUUGCAAUUUCGUAGGAUUUUUAUUAAUUGUUUGCAUUUUUGAUCACGUUUACUUUUAUUAAAAUCAUGAAAAUACAAAAAAUACCAUGCAUUGUAUUUAGAUUUUGUGUUCAUAUUAUUAGAUUAAUUAAUUUAUUUAUUAAUUGGUUUAUUAAAAUAAAAUCACAAAAAAUUGCUCAUUUUUACAUUCUUAACUUUUAAAUUAUGGAAAAGUAAUUUUCUCUUGUAAUUUUGGAUCAACACAUUUUUAUUAAUAUAAUAGUUGGAUAAUUAUAUUAAUUUUACAAUUCGAAUCAAUUUAGGGAAUUAUUUUAGAUUUUUAAUAAAUUAAAAGAAAUGGACAAAGGAAAAAAUGAAAACAAGAGCAAAAUGAAAAGAGUAGUUGAAAAAGAAGCAUGUUUAGAGUCGAAAUUGGUCCAGGCUUGAUAAAAAUCUCCUCCGAUCCAAGCCCAAACCUUACUCGGUCCAACCAGCCCCACCAUAAACCAAAUGAUACCUUUACCAUGGUCAUUAAAUCCCAUCCGUUGAUUUCCUUUAAUCGAGCGGAUGAGAACUACCUUCCAUUUAAUAUAAGAAUGUCCUAACUGCCCCCCCCCCUCCAUUUUGAAUGCCUAUUUCUUCUCCCGCACCCAAACUCUAGCUAACCUAGCCACCCAACAUUCCCAAUCCCCACCGACCGGCGGUACAACCCCAAUCGACCCCAAGCUCAUUGUAACAACCUGGUUUGACCUCUGUGAAUCAUCGUGACAACACAUAGUCUCUGCUACUCGGUGAAAAUGUGGAAAAAAACUAAUCCAAAUGUGUGGAAGAAAAGAAGAAAACAAUUGUAACAAAACUAGAAAAAAUUAAACAGUGCUUUAAAGGUGCCACUCGGCAUACUCAACACAUAACUUAUCAAACUAAUACAUACUCCCAAAACAAGGAAACACAUAACUUAUCAAACUAAUACAUACUCCCAAAACAAGGAAACUCAUGAAUCACAAGCUACGAAAUAUAGUGAAAUGAUCUAACUACAGAAUGUCUACAUCAAUUGUAAGAUAGAAAGGUUAUCACUAUAAUAUAGAAUAAAGAUAGAGACUCCCCGAUCUGCGGACCCGGCAAAUGUAUCUCGAAGUCUUCGAAAGAUCUCCCCUAUCUCAAGGAUGGUAAGCUUGAGUAGAGGUACCUGGAUCUGGACGUGAAAAACAUGCACAGAAAGGGCAUGAGUACACCACAAUGGUACUCAGUAAGUGCCAAGCCUAACCUCGGUAGAGUAGUGACGAAGAAGGUCACGACCUUAGUGAUGUUAAAUAAAAGAAAUAAUUGACAGCAUAGAACAUAAGACACUAAACAUGUACAACACUAUAAGUAGUACAAAUGUAAAGGACAACCAGAACUACGCAAGAACAAUGAAAACACCAAGGGAAAAAUAUAGUUCAUAUCCCACAAUAACAAUUGGGAUCUUACUGUCAUAUCCCAAAAUCCACUAAUGGUCGUGGUAGCGCCGGAUACCACUAUCAGGCAAACAAACUGACAUACUUAGCUAAAUUCUUGUUGUAAUAAUUUUGAAAAUAAUUCUCUGGCUCCAAAAUUUUUCGGUUCUGCGGAAGAAUUUCCGAUUCCACGGUCUCGCUUUUGCUGACCAUCUGCUGCUUCUGCAGAUUCCACUUGGCCACCCUUUUUCGAUUCUUUGUUCCCCUUUCCACAAAUGCGGUCCCGCUUCUACGGAACCUUGACCACAUCUGCGGUCCACGAUCCCCUGAUUAAAUCCACUUCUUCGGUUCCCUUUUCCGCUUCUGCGGGGCCGCUUUUGCAGUUAACCCACCGCAGAAGCAAUAAUACCAGCAACCAGACCCUUCAACUAUAUUAAAUUACAAAUCUUGAUAUGUUAAUCACCAAAAUCCACCCGAGGCCCCCGAGACAUCAACCAAACCUACCAACAAAUCCCAAAACAUAUUACGGACUUGGUCGAGGCUUCAAAUCACAUCAAACAACGCUAAAAUCAUGAAUCUAAGCUUUAUGAACUUUAGAACUUCCAAGUUCUACUUUUGAUGCUUAAACCUAUCAAAUCACGUCGGAUUGACUUCAUAUUUUGCACACAAGUCAUAUUUGACAUUACGGACCUACACCAUUUUUCGGAAUCCAAUUUUGACGCAGAUUUCAAAAGUCCACUUUCGGCCAAACUUCUGAAAACCUUGAAAUUUCUAUCUUUAGCCAAUAGCUCCAAAAUAACCUAUGAACUCAAAAUUCACUUUCGAACGCGUUACCAACUCCCGAAUCACCGUGCGGAGCUUCUCCUAUAUUUGGAAUCCCUAACGGACAUCGAUAACACUAAAUGUAUUUCAAGCCAAACAUAUGAAAUUUCUUCCUAAAUGCCAACUUACUCAACGGGCGCCAAAAUGCUCUCGUGUCAUCCAAAACCUGAUUCGGGCAUACGCCCAAGUUCGAAAUCAUCAUAGGAACCUGCCGGAACCAUAAGAUCCUGAUUCCGAGGUCGUCUACUAAAAUUUCCAAUCGUAGAUAAUUCCUUCAACUUUAAGCUUCUGGCAUAAGAAUUCUCUUUUUAAAUCAACUCUAAACUUCCCGAAAUUCAAUUCCGGCCAUACAUACAAGUCCUAAUACCUGAAAUGAAGUUGCUCAUGUCCUCAGACCGCUAAACAAUGUGCCAUAGCUCAAACCGAGAAGUCAGGUCAUUACACUUAAACGAUACCGUCCUGAUAAGUCUCUCGGGAUACCAUCCUGUAUUCCUAAAAUCAAUGCACACGGGAUCUACCGGAAUCCCAAUCCGUAGUCCCAAAAAUAAAAACCUAGUGCUAGAGGAAUCUAACGGGUGCAUUCCCGUAAUUCCAUAUAAUUGUGCAAGGGAAUCUAGUGAAAAUCUAACCUGUAAAUAGAAAAGGGGGAGUUACUGGAAGCUCAUAUCUGUAGUCCCAAUGUAAACACAUAGCAGUAACAUGAAAAAAUAUUCAGAGAAAGGGAAAUCUCAUAUCAAGGCAACAGAUAAUUCUACCCUAGCAUAUUGUGCGAACUUCAGGUAAAAUAGUGAAACAAAUAAGGCAAUUUGAUCACUUAGGCAUGUUACUAGAUAACAUAGGUUUAAAUAACACAAGAACGAAACAGGAAAGUAACAUAAUAGUAAUGCUUAAUAAAAAUCAUAUUUUCCAACAAUUAGCACAAGUAUGCACCCAUCACCUCACAAACAAGGUAUUUCAAUUAACAAGUAUACAAAAUCCUAAGGGGAAGGUCCCUCACACAAAGUUAGACAAGCCACUUACCUCGAACCGACACAAAAUCAACCCGAAACCACGCUAUUGCCACGAGUAUCCAACUCCAAAUGACCCAAUCUAUUCAAUUCAAUUGCAUAUUGUAAUAACACCUCAAGUAACUGAAUUGAUAAUUAAUUCUAAGUUAAUACGCAAAAUUAGGUAAAAUGACGAAAAUGCCCCUCGGGUGCAAAUCUCGGAAUUGGGAAUAAUUUACAUUUACCAAAAUCUCGUACUCUCACAAGUCUAUACAUAACAAGAGAACUGCAAUUGAAGUCCAAAUGACCCCUGAAACCCUCAUUUAAAGACCUCUUAAACUCAAGCCCUAAUUACCCAUUUUUCCCAAGUUUCAUACCACUAUUUAGGUCUUUAUUCAUAUAAAAACGAGUUAUAAAGUCAAGGAUGUUACCUCCAAGUGACUCCCCUUUGUAAUCCUCAAAAAUCCAUCUCAAAAUCUUCAAACCCAGAUGAAAAUGGUGGACGAUAGCUCAAUUUCACAAAGGAAACUAUUUAUAUAUUCUGUGUUUGCGGCCCUGGGACCACAUCUCCAAUCCCGUUACUUCGGACCAAAGGUCGCAACUAUGACUUCCACUAACAGGACAAAUUUCUUAAUCUGUGCUUACCCUUCCGCAAGUGUGGUACCGCUUAUGCGAUGAAUUUCUCGCAUGCGGAACAUGCCGAUCCUCCCCAAAUCCUCAUAUGUGCUUGCUAUGCCAAUUCCAUGGCACCACACAUGCGGAACCAAAUCCCCAGGUGCAGUUAUGAUUGAAAACCAGCAGAUGCUGCAAACUUCCAACUCCAAAUUCCUUACGUCAACCAUCCGAGAUUAUCCCGAGGUCCCCGGAACCUCAACUAAAGGCAUCAACAUAUCCUAAUACGUUAUUCAAACUUUUACCAAUCUCAAAACACUUCAAACAUCAUCAAAACAACCAAAACACAUUAGAUUCAAGCCUAAGUAUAAAUAAUCUUCUAAAUUCCGCUUUUGAUCAAACUACUGAAACUCCAAGAAUUCCAUUCCAGCCCUUGGAUCAAAAUCUCACUACUGAACUGGAAACUUCCAAAAUUCAACGUUUGGCAUUUCAAGCCUAAAUUAGCUACAAACAUCCGAAACACAAACUCAAUACACUCAUAACCCCUAAGUCACUCAACAAAGCUAACGGAAUCAUAAGAUUUCUAUUCCGAGGGCAUCUUCAUAUAGUUCUGACUACAAUGAACUUUCCAAUACUUAAGCUCUCAUAAAGGGACUAAGUGUCCCAAAACACUCCAAAACUUAAAACCAAACAUCCUGGAAAAAAAAUUAGUAGAAUUAAACUUGGGGAAAGCAGUUAGUAGGGGAUCAGACAUUAAUUCUUAAGACGAUCGGCUGGAUUUUCAUAUCCUCCUACACAUAAACAUUCAUUCAUACCCGAACGAGCAUAGAGGCAUACCUGAAGUAGUGAAAACAUGAGGUUAACAGUUGCGCAUAUCCCGCUCCAUCUCCUAAGUCGUCUCCUCGACCGGCUGACCCCGCCACUGAACCUUUACUGAUGCAAUGUUCGUUGACCUUAACUUUCUGAUCAGCCUGUCCAAUAGAGACACUAGCUCCUCAACAUAGGAUAGAACCUUAUUCAACUGGACUAAACUAAAAUCCAACACGUGCGACGAAUCACCGUGAUACCUCCGCAGCAUCGAAAUAUAAUGUACCGAAUGAACUCCUACCAAGUUGAGAGGCAAGGCAAGCUCAUACACAAACUCUCGAACAUGCCUCAAUAUCUCAAAAGGGCCAAUAAACCUUGGACUCAACUUCACUUUCUUCCCAAAUAUCAUAACGCCCAUUAUAAAUGAAACCUGCUCUCCAACCAUAUAGGAAAAAUAACGAAUAUUCCGGUCCACAUAGCUCUUUUGCCUGGACUGGGCUGUACGGAGUAUCUUUAAUCACCUAAACCUUCUCCAAAAAAAUCCUGAACCAAGUUUGCGCCGAAUAAUAUAGUUUCUCCCGGAUCGAACCAACCCACCGGAGAUCUACACCGCCUACCAUAUAAAGCAUCAUACAGCACCAUCUAAAUGUUGGACUUAACUUUGUUGUAAUCAAACUCCACCAAUGGCAAGAACUGAUCCCAAGACCCUCCAAACUCAAUCACACAUGCACGAAUCAUAUCCUCAAGAACCUAAAUAGUGUAUUUGGAUUGUCCGUCUGUCUGAGGGUGAAAUGUUGUACUCAACUCUAUUUGAGUACCCAACUUGUUUACCGUGAAAAUGGUAACAACAAUUAAAUUUGUAAAUGGGAAUCUAAAAAUACGUGAUCUAUUCUCGAGCUAGUUUUUAAUAAUUUUAAUGCUAAGAACGCAAAGUGUAAUAGUAAAAUUCGAGCUAAUACGAUGCUGGAAUCAAACUGAAGGGGCUUAUUGCCCGAGUGAAGGGGUGAUAAAUAUGACCUCGGGGUCGGCAUUGGUAUCGACCUUGGACAAUCGAGGAUAGUCGAGGAUGGAUAACAAUUAGAGGUAUUAUAAGCAAGGCUCUAUACAGCCAAUAUUAGACAAUGCAGAAAAUGAAGGUAAGAAAAUAAUAAAUGUGAAGGAGGUCUCAAGCAUGUGGGGAUGAACCAUUUAGAAGAGAAGAGAGAGAGAGAUAGAGAGAGAGAUGUUAUUGCACUAGUGGAGAAAAUGGAGUAACAUCAUCCCAUUACAGGACGAUAUGGGUUCCUCUUAUAUAGGAGAGGGAACCCAGUAUGUAGAUUGUAUUAAAUUUAAAGAUAUGGGGAUGGGAGGGCUAGACAAGACACGAGGACCUUUUGAUUCUAACUGCUUGCCUCGGAUUCCCCCGUCAUCGUAACCUUUGCCGGGCUAACCUCGGAUGCACUGCAGGACCGCGAAUGAUCCUCAAGACAAGGAGCCUGAUCACGAUCCUACAACCUCGAGGUGCUAUCAUUAAAUUCCUAAUAUACCUUAAUAGCGGUAGAUUGGUUCCCCCAAUUUUUCCACAAAUUGAUAGUCUCGGUGUUUCCUAGAAUGAAGUGAUAGGAAACGAUGUUGAAUCGUCAUCUCGAGGCCAUUAUUGGCGUGAUGUCAACCUUCUAAGAGCAUCAAAUUCCAUGACCAAAGAAACUGUGUACGGCUAACGUCAAAUGCGAUAAUCGAGAAACCCAUGAACUGCCGUAGGUUUCCUCUCUUCUGCUUCCCUAGUAGCUCCAAUAAAUGCUUUUACUGCUAGAUACUCCCAGUCUUCGCCCUUCCCUCGGGCUUGUAAACCAGAAUUUUGCUAUUUGAUACCGUUUCAUUUUUUCUUCUCUUUGAGGAAAGGUUUUACCAUUUUUCAAGGUCAGGACUUCGAGGAUGGUUCCCCAAUGAAGUGAUAUUUUGUCAUCAUCUUGAUUGUCUGGGGGGUAGGGAAUAAAUCGGUUUCCACAUUGGAACAAUGAACCGCUCCCGCUAUUGACACAUCAGUUGAUUUCGACAUCGAAACUCCCUCAUCUACAAUGGGUAUUUGUGAGUAUGUAUCUCGAUAUGUUCGCGUCAUGACCAAUGUUGACAAAGAUAAAGAGGACUACAAAUGGAGCAAGGAAGUUGAGGUAAAAAUUCUUGGCCCCAGUGAUAACAAUACCGACUCAAGGAUGGAUUUCUCUACACAUACGCUUAUCCAUUCACCUUGGGUCCUGAUAAAUCUGUCGAAUCUCCUCUUUUGGAAAUCGAUUCGAUUAUCCUUGACUUGUGUGCUUAAUAUCGGGUGACCCUCAGUCAGAUCUACCCACCUUCUAGAGGAUCGUGUUGAUGCUCCGGUAUUUCACCGAAGGGGUUACAGGUGAUAUCUUUACCCUCAUCCAUUUUAUCAGAUUGUACCACCCUCAGCUGCAUCGACGCUUAAUCAAGCUUCAACAACAGUCCAAAAAAUCUUUAUUCACAAGUGUUGAUGAGGGGAAGGACCGGGAAUGGAUGAUCAGGUUAAUUUUAGUGAGGACCUCGGAUAUCAUCCUGUCCUGGAGGAUGCCAUUCCCAGAGCGAUGGAACAAUUGACGUAUGUGAACUUCCCAUUAGCCACUUCUCAGCUAUUAUUUGUUUUUGCCAAAAUCACCCUUUUGUUCUCUCUCCAGCCAUUGCUUGCCAUCCCGAGGCGGUCCUAGAUUUUGCAGGACGAAUCAGGAGUUUGGGUGAAAGGUUAUCGUACCGCUUCCAGUCUUGGACAAUCAUGUCCAAUGAGUGCUGGUUGGCCAGAAAUCACAGUAAGGUUUCUUCAUUGCUCGUGCUUCACCUUUAUUGUUCCUCUCCGAGAUCUAACCAAUGGCGUGUUGCAUUUUUUGUUCUGGCGCAUUCUUUAGAGAGAAUAUGAAGAUGAGGCCACCCCCCUAUGGUGAAGCGGGGGCCUUGGGGCCUUAUAUGAACAAGAAAAAGAAAGACAAGGUGGCCAUCAUUUGUCCUGAUGAAACUGAUGCCCUAACAUUCAGGUAGAACCCUGAUGUUUAGGGGAAGGUGGAGGAUAUGAGUCCGUUGAGGAUGAGGGCGAGGUCUAGUGUGCAAGGUAUACAUGUGCCCCAGUCGGAGGCUGUUGAAUUUGGGAUGGCAAAAUCCGGUAGGGCAAAAGAGCCGGGAGUCCUUAAAGAGAAUGUUGAUGUGACUUCGAAUCGUGCAGCUGGAUUCGAUGUGGCAUCUGCUAGCAGGCCCAUUAGUCCUUAUGGUUCGGGCUUCGGGACAUCCUAAGGAGAUGGGCUGCUAUUAAGAGAAAUCGACGACCCAAAUGAUCUUAUUCAGAACAUCCCAAUCUGAUCAUGAGAGCUGAGGUACGCCAAAGGGAUGAUUUGCGCCACUAUUGGUACUCUUUUCAAAGGGGUAUGCUUCAUUGACAACAUUUUUGAUGGCGUAAUCGUCGGAGUUGACCUCAACGCUUUUGGUUCCAUUAAAAAGGUGGAUAAGUCCCAACAGCUGGUGAUAAUUUUUUCUUCCUCAUUUUUUUUCAUUCUCGAUCAUCAUUCGUCAUUUUUCUUAACUUUCUCAUUGUGCUGCAGUGUAAAGAUAUGUAUGAUCAUGCUAUCCUUCGGCUUUGUGAGGAACUUUCUAGCAAUUAGAAGGAGCACAAUAACAUUGCUUUGAAACUUCAAGACUUGUAUGCUCAUGGCGUGUGGGGAGAUAAAGAGUUGGGCGAUCUUUGGGCCUCUUUGGAGGUGGCUCUUUGAGAGAAGGCCGCCCUUGCUGCCAAGAUAUUCCACCUUGCUCAAACCUACCCUCUUACUCUGUAUCCAUACGUGUUUUGUUAUUCAUAUAUUCACAAUCUCGCCUUUCGUUGUAGGUUGAGCAGUGCAGAUCAUGGAUUAGUCAGUUGGAAGCGGAGGUCUCCGGGUUGAAGGAGCAGAGCGAGACUGUAAUCGGGGAAUUGACAUCCCUGGGCCUUCUCUCGGAUACCCGCAGGAAGAGUGUUGCAUUGGCUGCAGCUAAGUCUAAGUCCGAGCAAGAUGCUGCCGUUUAUAGGGAGGAUGUGGCUGCAACGGAUGAAAUUGUUCGGGACAUAUCUCUAGCGGCUGGGAAGAAACUGGCACAAGCUGUCGAGCAUGCCAAGGUGAAGGUAAAGAGGAAGGUCCUAGAAGAACUCGAGGCUAAAAUCUUCGUGCUAUCUACCAACCCGGAGGAGGCUCGCAUGAUGGAGGUAAGACUCGCACUUUUGUUUGUCACCAAUCGGGGUGAAGGCAAUAGUGGCAAGGAGUAGUCUCCGAGCCUUUUUUUGUAUACCUUCUAUUUUUAAUGUGUUCUCCCUAGCAAGAGACUCAUAGGGUAAAAAGGUGUUUUUCCUUUUUUCAUGGAUCCUUUUCGUAGGACAGACCGGGGGGCCCCCAGACCAGCCAUGUCAUGAGGUUGAGUCGAUUGCUCCUUUGAACCGAUACUUGAACUUUCAGGGGUCUACCGAGGUCCCUUGAUUUCACGAGUGAUGUGGGAGCGUGAGAUGAUUUUUUUGAUGCCAUCCCUAAGGAGAAAGUCACAUUUAAUGCGACCAUAAAUAUUUGGCCUUCUUGAGAAAUUAAGGAGUGGUUGCCUUGCCCCUAUAUGUUUUUCUAUCCGCCCUCCAAGUAGCAAUUUUGCUGUUGUUUGAUAAGCCAUCUCCUUUGUAGAGCCCGACGCUUUUUGCGAGUUCCUCCAUUUCUUUACUUAUGGGAGUUUUUACCUAAGCCCUCCUCUUUUUCUCCUUCUUCAAUCGUGGCCAUAGUUGCUGCUUCGGCACCUGGUCCUCGGACGAGGGGAAUUACUUCUUGCGUUCCACCUUUGGUUGGCGCCCCCUUCCCUCUCCCAAUGUUGAGGGAGCGACGCUUGGAGAAUGCAGCCACGCCGGGAAAACCUCCCAUUGUUCCUGGCCAUCGGGAGCAUGUGUCGAGGAUUACUUCAUCGGUGAAGGAGGAGAACCUCGGGGCAGUCAAGAAAGAGUGCGGAUGGGGGUAGGUGUGCUUCUACUAGCACCUUUCUUUAUGAGAGUGCUAUGAUGCAUAUUAAGGGCUCUUGAGCGUGUAUACCUAUGUCCUCAGGUCGGGUUCCCUGGAUCGGGCUGAGCUCGAUUUUUGUAAAAAUUGCUAUGUAAGGUUGGAUUAGAUUCUUCCUUUUCUCUAGAGGAUAGUGCAUUCAAAGAUAUCUUUUGAUGAUAAGGCCGGGAUAAAGUUUACCCUCAGUCACCUUAUAAGGUUGUACCGGCCAAUACAUUACGUGGCCUAGUUGCUCUUCAACACAGGUCUACCAGAGCAUCCAUGCUUGGCGGUGAGGAGGAUGAUGAUCGUAGAUGGAUGAGUCAGUUCAUUCGUAUCCUGAUGACCGACAAUAUUCCCGUAGAAUUUUUACCUUUUCCUAUGACAUGGAACUCCGCACGUAUGCGUUCUGUUCGAACCGGCUUUCCCUUCUUAUGAAGCUGGUUCCAUAAUGAUGUCUUUCUAUCUUUUGUUUAUUGAAACUUAUUGGUUUCCGGUGAGGUCCUUGAUUUAACCGAAUGGUCUCGUAGGUUGGCAGCUUGUUGGGCUCAUGAUAGGCACCGGUGGUGAGAUCUUUCAAAAGGGAGAUGGGAGGCGAAACAUUAUUCUAGGUGCCUGGAGUUCUCCCUCUUUUUUUGGGAACAACUUCCUUUUUACAGAUUCACCCAAUUCCUCUAUUAUAGGUAUCGGGAGUUCAUUUGAGGUGAGACUGGAUUCUCCAAACGAGGAAGAGGAGAUAUUACUGGCCCAAGGAUCGAGGAGCACUGGCAUAAGGAAAGGUGUUCCAUGGUGCGAGAAGGCUUGUGGUGAGGUGUCUCCUCUGCACAGGUUAAGGGGAAGCUAUUUGGUUGCCAGCAAGCUUUCGAGAUAUAUGCAUCAUCAUACGUUGCUUCGUCCCUCGACGAGGAUCAUCAUCUUGGACUUGUGGUAUGGUUUCGGCCGCUGUAGAGAUACUCUACCCCAAGCUCCUUUCUUUGUCUUUUACUCACCUGGCUUCCCUUCUUCAGGCGUUUGAUAGUCUCAAUGUUGUGCUAGUUCAUUGCAUGGCCCCAUUGCGGGAAGUUUUAAAUAGGAAAAAUCCUUUAAACUUCUCUGUGCAGCGAAGGAAAAUGAGUUUGUAUCUUUACGGUGCGGGGCGGACCGAAGCCACGCCCAGGAAGCCCUAUUGGAGAAACACGUGUGCUGCAUUUUUUGCUAACCUAUUUUCCCCUUUUUGUUAUGUUGUUUUUGACGUGUCGUUAUUUCAGUUUAAGGACAUGGCGGAUGAACUGGAACAACUCUAGGGCGAGAUCGGCAAAGCCAAACGUGAAUUUACUAAAGUGCAAAUGCAUUUUAGUGCCACUUUUGAAGCCAAAGAAAGGGCUCAAGCCGUGACAUCUACUCUUAAGGCACAAAUUAAAGCCACUCGUGCGAAUGAUUCUGCUCGAGCAAAGAUGAUCACGAGACUCCCAUCCGAGCUAUAAAGGGAGAAAAAUUACAUGGUGAACAUCCAGGCUGAGGUCGUAAUGAAUAAUACCAGGGCCGGGCCAAAAAUUGCGGCUUAUUCAAAAAGCGUCGCGGUCGCUAAGGAUGGGCUAAAAAAUCUCCUCAAUUAAGCGAAUAGCAGCAGGGAGUAUUAAUGGUGUAGAUCCCGGAGGGAGACCCUCGAGGAGAUUCAUGCCAGAGGCUUUGAUCUUUCGAAGGAGAUCCGACAACCCAAAGGAGAUGAGUUUGAUGCCAAGUUCCUGAUAACCGAUGAUGAGGAUGAUGAGGAGACCGUCGGUCUGUAGCGGGCGGAAUGAAUAUUCCCUGCUUUCUUUAUUAUAUAUUCCUUUCAUUAUGCGACGCAUGUCGAGAUUGCGCGUUGUCAUCAAUAUGUAGUAAUAAAAGGGGAAUCCCCGCAACUUGUAUCUUUUGUACUUCUACUAGUUUGACUUUUCACAUGGUCGAUAUGAUCUUAGAUUUUCCCUUAGGCAUGCAUUCAUUUACAAUUUUCGGGUUCACUCUUUGAGUUGGGGGUCCAACUCGAGCUUAAUAUACCCUCUAAUUUUGCAUUCGUUCAGGCUAGCGAUUAUGGUUUUUAUUCCCUAGCCGAUGAUAGUGGCAUUUAUGCCGCUUGGUCAUUUGAGACCUUUUAGUAUGUGGCCUGGAGGCUUUCAAUAGUUAACUAUUUUCCAAUCGUUCUCCGUUUUGAGUUAGGAUUUGAGCUCAUUUUAAUCCUCAGCUUGUAAAGAUUUUUUAGCGGGAGAUAAUGGCUCUUAUGUUGUUUGGUCGUAGAGACCUUUUAAUAUGAGGCCCUUAGGCUUGCUUAGCUAGAGACAAUGGCUCUUACAUUGUUUUUAGCACAUGCGAUUAUUGUAGGCUUUUCAUCUGCUCGUUAAGGUCUUUUUAUAGUAUUUUUUCCUGACCUGUCGUCGGUUCUAGAGGAACCUCAUUUCAAGUCGUUUCCGGCGAUGUUUUGAGUACCUCAUAAGGUUCAUAGCUCAUAGGUCGAGCAGAUCUAUGCUCUUGCAUUUUGAAGCCGACAUUGUCAGAACUCGGUUUUGCGUGUUGAGGGAAGCCUAUUUUAAUCGAUUCAUUUCGAAGUAUAUUCGGAGUAGUGCGUGUGAUAUAUUGGCGACAGUCGGGUGUCCUCGAGUCGCGUUAUAUUUUUCUGUAUCAUCCAUUUUCACUGAAGUCAUAUGCGUUUGGAUGUAGCUAUUUUUUAUCCCUAGUGAGAGUUUAGGCAUCUAUUAAGGGAUUCUUACAAAUGUGAUGCACAGCUUAAACUUUGGGAUUUUUCAUGCCUAUUGAGGUCUUACAGUUUGUGAUGCCUACUGAGGUCUUACAAUUUUCCAUGCCUAUUGAGGUUUUAUAGUUUGUAGAAUAGAUCUGGUUAUGUCGAGGCUGCCCCUAGGGGUCAUACAAUUUUGGGUUUUCAAGUUGUAUGGCGAUUAACAGCAAUCUCCAAGUCAUCGAGUUUGUUUGAGCUUGAAGACAGUUUCUCGUGAGCUUAGAGUUACAUUCCAAGGGUUUGAUGAGCCUGGAAUUCUGACCCUGAGGUCAUGCAAGUGGUCGUAUCGCUGAUGCUGAGUCUCCGAGUAUAUCAGGUCUCCUUUAAAGGAGUAGUAUUUGCUGGGAAUAUGUCAGAACCUUCCAUAAAUAAGAAAUGUCGAAAGGGUAUUCUUCAUUGCAUAUAUGUGUAAAUAUAUAUAUUCCCAUUGUCAUGUGUUUGGCCUGCAAUGGUACAACUACUCUUAUUAUCUGAUCCAUUCACAUGAUUCCAAUUUUGGAACUUUGCUUGCCAAUUUUUGGCCCUCCCCAGGUGAUGGUGCCCUUAAGAGGAUGUCACCAUACGUCGUUUGACUGUUAAAGUAAGGAUUACGACCUCGUCGAAUCCCUUUUUUAGGGGUACGUUGCUCUGCUAAUAAUCUUGUUAUAGGGACCUUUAGACCAAAAAAUCCCGGUCGAGGAGAGAGAGCUUAGUGGGUCCUGCAGAGGCCUCAAAGCUUCGAGUGGAAUUGAAUUUUUGAAUUCCUUGGCUGACUAUCUUCAUGUAGGUUAGUAAAAGAGAGUAACAGACAAAGGAGCAGAGUAGUUCUUCCUUGCUGCAGGGUGUGUAGGUGAUUAUUUUCAAGGUCAGGCGUAUUCCUACAAUUUCAAGGAACAUGCCCUAAUGAAACCUUCUGCCGCGUUCAACCAGGCUUGGUCCAAAGAUAUGGUUCUGCAUACCAUUUAAUCCCUUCGAGGGGCGGAUGCAUUAAUGAUGGCGACUUGUCAUAUGGUAAGGGAUUUUCUCCCAUUGCGUGUAGCUUUUUGUUAAAUGUAAUACUCCCACCUUAAUCCGGGAGUUUCACCUUUUUGGAGAAGUGGGAUAGAAACUGUCUCUGGGCGGUGGAGCCAUUGUCGUCCAAAAUGAAACAUUCGCGCUUUGCGGGCUCGGCGUUUCAGUCUGAGCUUAGGUGAGUUGCAUAGAAGGAGCGACCGUCCUUAUUGUUGUAGCGAUCGGUGGUUGGUACGUACUAAAGCUUCAAGGUGUGGGAGUGAUUUUUUUUUGUAAGUCCGAACUGCCUUAUUGGCUUUGGCCUGAAGCUGUUGGUAUAGUUGGUCGAAACGCCUGCAUUCAUGAACAGAUGUUUUACUUAGAAUAGGUUAAAUGAGGGAGGGGGUUAACAACACGGAAAUACAAGGCCGAGGAGAUGCUAAGUGUCCCUUUCCCUAGAUGUAAGGGAAUCCUUUGGGUAUAUUUCGCGAACCCGCCUUUUCCUGACAAUGAGUAAUUUUUCUCUACAUUUUACAGAUCUUCGAAGGGUGCCGCCGCCCUUCUAGUGUCGUGGCAGUACGUUGUGGCUUGUCAGCUUCCUUUUUCCCAUAUACUUCCUCCCUUGGAGCUGGACUCGAUCUUGACUUGUUGAUGAUACUUGGUGGCAAGCUCUAUUUAAUAGCAUGGUUGUUCUUCUUUUGGGCUGGUCACCCCACGUGCCUUGUGGUUCUUGCGCCGUGCAAUAUUUCUCUUGGAGAAGUCUUGGUGGAAUGGGUUUGAGCCACGUGGCGUUUCCAGAUUCUCUUAUGGUGAUCACGAUGUUUGGUAAAACAACGUUGAAAUCGCACCUGGCUGGGCGGGAUUUCCCUACCAGCUCUGUCUUGUUGAAUCUAGUCCCAUCGCAGGUUCCUCGAGGAGGCUAUCCUCGGGCCAUCCCCCUGCUGUUUCAAUGUAGGUUUCUUUUCAAGUCAUUCAUUCUAUUCGUCGCGCAUGGAUGAUACCUCCAUCUACUUUGUAUCAGCUACUCUAUUGGGGGUCUGCUUGGAUAUACCGAACUCGAGGAGGUUCCUGGAAGGCUGUCUGUGGCCCCGAUUAAGGACUGAUGCCUUGUGUGGGCGUCCAACCAGAUGAAGAUGGGCUCGAACCUAUUUUCUCUUGUGUCACUGCCUCUACACAAGCGUGCGCAAGCGGUGGUGCGCCCGUAGGGAUGCAAGGUCCUGUCGCACCUUGGGAGUUUUGGCGUUUCGGGAUUUAACGAAGCGAGUUCCGGGACUAUUUCCUCUAGACUCAGUUGCUGUAGGAGCUUCCACGAACCUGAUUAGAUCUUUUUAAAUACCUACCAAGCAUCUUUGCUGCGGCAGGGUUAGUUAUCAACCCAUCGUUACCUAUUUUCUCGGGUACUUGCUCAUCAUUAGGGGUGUCUCUUUUGUUAUUGUGUUAGGGGGCCUCGUUGGCUUGCAACUCAGCGAUAGCCAACUGUCGUGCUUGAAAAAUUUCCAAAUAACACGAACACUAAAUUUAUGUUCUACCUGAGCUGGGGGGUUUUGUGCUUCCUGUUGGUCACUGUGGCGUAUGCUCCUGCCGGCGUGAGAAAUUUUGCUGACUUGUUGAGAGUCCUAUGAAUCUGCGUCCACUAGGAUUGAUCCGAGAGUGAUAUUAGGCUUACGCGGAGAUGCUCUGGCGGCUCGGAUAGCCAUGCCAUUUUCCCAAUGAUUUUCGAGGUUGUUCGGUCUCAACUCUGUUUAUCGAGCCAGACAUUUUUGCUUUAAAUCAAAGUAUCUUAGAAAAGAAAAGAUGUGAAAGAUGAUAUGCGUUUGUGUGAUGAAACCAUAAAAAAUUAAUCACUAUUAUUUUUGCCACACGGUAGGUGCUAAACUGUUUACCGUGAAAAUGGUAACAAUAAUUAAAUUUGUAAAUGACACUCUAAAAAUACGUGAUCUAUUCUCGAGCUAGUGGUUAAAGCAGUUAUUCCUAAGAACGCGAAGUGUAAUGGUAAAAUGCGAGCUAAUACGAGGCAGUAUUCUUGCAUCCAUGGCUUGUUUCCCGAGCACGUGGGUAAUCGAUGGAACCUCACGGUCAGCAUUUGUAUCAAUCUCGGGCUAUUGGCGAUAGCCGGGGAUGGGAUAAUAGUUAGAGGUAUGAUUAAACAACGUACUAUACUGCCAAUAUUAGAUGAUACAGAGAAUAACAUGUAAGAAAAUAAUGAAUAUGAAGGAGGUCUCGAGCCUGUGGCGAUGAACCAUUUAUAAGUAAAGAGAGAGAGAGAGAGAGAGAUUAUUGCACUUGUGGAGAAAAUAGAGCAACAUAAGCCAUUUACAAGAUGGUAUGGGUUCCUCAUAUAUAAUAGAGGGAACCCGGUGUGGUACAAAGUGCAUUAAAUAUAAAGAUACAUGGAUGGGACAGCUAGAUAAGACACCGGGACCUAAUAUUCUAACUGCCUGCCUCGGAAGUCCCUCGUUUUCGUAAACUUUGCUGGGGCCGCAGAAAGAUCCUUUAGCCUUGGAGCCACAGCAGGAUCGCGAAUGAUCCUCAAUAUAAGGAGCCCGAUCACGAUCCCACAACCUCGAGGUGUUGUCACGACAUUCAGAAUAUACCUUAAUGGCGGGAGAUGGAUUCCCCCGAUUUUGCCAUACGCGCAACUCAUGCUGAAUGGCUAUCAAGAACCCUGAUGUGAACUGAGUAACUCUAUAUGAAAUAAAGGAAACUAGAAUACUAUGCAGACGAACAAUCUCCCGGAUAUAAAUCUCCGGCAACCGCUCCAAAGAAUAAGUAGUACGCAUAGGAAUGAAAUGAGCGGACUUGGUCAGCUGAUCAACAAUUACCCAAAUAGCAUCAAACUUCUUUAAAGUCCGCUGAAGUCCAACUACAAUGUCCAUGGCGAUCCGCUCACACUUACACUCCGAAAUCUCUAUAUACUGAAGCAACCUACCCGACCUCUAGUUCAUACUUCACCUGCUAACACUUGAGGCACUGCGCUACAAAUCUAACUAUAUCUUUGUUCAACUGCCUCCACCAAUAGUGUUGCCUCAAAUCCAGAUACUUCUUCGCGGCACCCAGAUGAAUGGAAUAUCACGAAGUGUGGGUCUCCUCAAGAAUCAACUCCCGAGGCCCAUCAACAUUGGGUACCCAAACCCGAACCUCCAUCCUCAAUGCUCCAUCCCGCCUGUGGUCACAUCUCUGGCAUUACCAUGCAGCACCUUAUCCAUAAGGACAAUCAAAUAAGGUCCAUCAUACCACCGCUUCCUGAUACGAUCAAAUAACGAAGACCGAGAAACUGUGCAAGCUAGAACCAGACUAGGCUUCGAAUGAUCCAAUCUCACAAACUGGCUAGUUGGGCCUGAACAUCAAUUGAUGUAGGCCUCCUCGAUGCUGGUAAAUAUGCCAAACUAACCAAACUCUCCGCCCGACGACUCAAUGCCUCAGCCACUAUAUUGGCCUUGCCCGAGUGAUACAGAAUAGUGGUAUCAUAAUCCUUCAGCAACUCCAACCGCCUCCUCAGGCGGAAAUUUAGAUCCUUUUGCUUGAACAAAUGUUGUAAAGUUCGGUGGUCAGUAUAAAUCACACAGAAAAAAAAUGGCGCUAAAUCUUCAAGGCAUGAAAAAUGGUAGCUAACUCAAGGUCAUGAGCAGGGGGUAAUUCUUCUCAUGUAUGUACAACUGUAUGGACGCGUAGACUAUAACCCUACAGCUCUGUAUCAACACCGCUUCGAGGCCUACCCUUGAGGCAUCACAAUAGACCGUAUAAGACCUUGUAGGCAAUAUCAACACUGGUGUCGUAGUCAAAGUUGUCUUGAGCUUCUGAAAGAUCGCCUCACACUCUUCCGUCCAAUGAAAUGGAGCAUCAUUCUGGGUCAACCUGGUGAUAGGGGAUGCAAUCGAUUAAAGUCCCUCCACAAAAUAACGGUAGUAGCAAACCAAGAAAAAUAUGGAUCUCUACAGCCUAGAAUGGUCUGGGCCAACUCUGCACUGCCUCUACCUUCUUCGGAUCUACCCGAAUACCCUUACUUGAUACCACGUGGCCCAAGAAUGCCAUGUAUUCCAACCAAAACGCCUAUUUUGAGAACUUCUCAUAUAACUUCUUUUCACUCAGAGUCUGAAGAACUCUCCUCAGAUGCUGCUCAUGCUCUUCCCGACUCUGGGAAUACACCAGAAUGUCAUCAAUAAAGACAAUGACAAAAGAGUUAAGAUAUGGCUGGAAUACAUUGUGCAUCAAAAGCAUAAAAGCUGUAGCACCAUUGGUCAGCCCAAAUGACAUAAAUAAUGACUAUAUCAAGUCCUAAAAGAAGUCUUCAGGAUAUCUGGCUCCCGAAUCUUCAUUUGAUGGUAACCUGAGCACAAGUCAAUCAUAAAACAUAAAUGUGCGCCCUGAAGAUGGUCAAAUAGAUCAUCAAUACAAGGCAAAGGAUAACAGUUCUUCACUGUAGCCUUGUUUAGCUGGCAGUAUUCAGUACACACACGUAUAGAACUAUUUUUUUUCUUCAUAAACAAGACACCACCAACCCAAGUUGAUACACUUGGCCAAAUAAAACCCUUAUCAAGAAAUUCAUGUAACUGAUCCUUCAACUCAGGAGGAGCCAUACGAUAUGGAAGGAUAGAAUUGAGCUGAGUGUCUUGAAAUAGAUCAAUGCCAAAAUGAAUAUCUCUAUUUGGCGGCAUGCCUGGAAGAUCAUCUGGAAAUACAUCGAAAAAAUCCCGUACUACUGGGACUAAAUCAACUGAGGGAGUAUCAAAACUCACAUCUCUCACAUAAGCCAAAUACGUGUCACACCCUUCUUCAACCAUACAUCGAGCCAUAAGGAAAUAAAUAACUCUACUGGGAGUGUGAUCUAAAGUACCCCUCAACUCAAUAUGCGGUACACCCGGUAUAGCCAGCGUCAUGGUUUUGGCAUAACAAUCAAGAAUAACAAUGGGUCAAAAACAAGUCCUUGGCAAAGAGAAUAUCAAAAUCAACCAUGAUGAGUAACAAUAAGUCGACUGUGGUCUCAAAACCAUGAAGAGUAACUAAAUAUGAUUGAUAAAUGUCGUGCACAAUAAGAGAAUCUCUCACAUGAGUAGACACAUAAACAGGAAAACUCAAUGAAUCUCCGGGUACACCCAAUCAUGGAGAAAACAAGAAGACAUAUAAGAAUAAGUGGAGCCUGGAUUGAAUAGAAACGGUGCAUCUCUAUGACAAAACAGUAUAAUACCUAUGAUGACAGAAUCAGAUGCAACAACCUCCAUACAGGAAGGAAUGGCGUAGUAUCUAGCAAAGACUCUCACUUUAGGGUGACCUCUACCUCCCCGACCUCCAACUCUAGCUGGAUGGGCAAGUGGUGAAGCAGUUGGAGUGGCAACCAUAGCUUAAGAACUUUACGGGGAACACUAUGGCUGUGAAGUCUGUGAAGGUGCACCUCUCUCAAGAUUGAGGCAAUCUCUCACCAUAUGGCGUGGGUCACCACACUCAAAACAAACUCUAGGAGGACGUAGUGGGUGUAACUAGCUAGGGCUAGGUCGGUUAGACUGACCUCUAAGAGCACCCCACACAGGAAGCGCGCUAGAUACCGUUGGUGCAUAAUAAUGCUCCUAAGAUCUAGGAGGAGCAGGAGCACUGCUGGCUGCAGAAAGACCUUAAUGAACAAAGUGACUCAUAUAACCCCUACCAUGAUAACCUACAGCUAGGGUACGGGCGCAAGAAUAAUUGUCCAACUCUCGAAGCCUCUUGGCCUCCCUCUCCUUUCUUUCCCUAAAAUGUAUACCCGCAAACCUUCUAAUAUACUCACCAGCUGCAAAAAGGGAAUGUCCAUCUCAUAUAUCCCCUACCAUGAUAACCAACAGCUAGGGUACGAGCGCAGCAAUAAUUUUCCGACUCUCGAGGCCUCUUGGCCUCCCUCUCCUCUCUCUCCCUAGAAUGUAUACCCGCAAACCUCCUAGAAUACUCACCACCUACAAAUACGGAAUGUCCAUCUCCAACUAAUGAGCCAUGCUAGACUUGAUGCUGGGAAUAAGUCCCUCAAUAAACCUUGCGAACCCUCUCGCGAACAGUACAAACCAAGGUUGGUGCAUGCCUAGCUAAACGAGUGUAACAAACGGCAUACUCUUAUAUAGUCAUAGCACCCUGACACAAAUGUUCAAACUCUGUGCGCCAUGCAUUCCUGAGACUUUGAGGAAUAUACUUUCCUAGGUACAAAUCUAAGAACUGGCUCCAAGUCAGUGAAAUAGUCUCGUCUGGACUGUCUAACUCAUAGGUGCGCCACCACUCAUAGCCGGCUCCCCGAAGCUAGAAAGUGGUGAAGGAAAUCCUGCUCGAUCCUGAUAUACCCAUAGUGUGAUGAAUACAUUAGCACUCCUCGAGAAAUACCAAGGCAUUGUCUGAUGCUAGUCCAAUGAAUACCAUAGGAUCAUACUUCUUGAACCUCUCAAGUCUCCGCUGCUCAUCCUCUAAAGCAGUUGCGCUGUCCUCGUGCUGAAUUGGCACUGUAUGCGGUAUGAGAAUGAUCUCUAGGACCUGAUCAGCAUGUGUCACACCCCUAUUUUUUCCCUCUUAUUCAAUCGUGAGCUAGGGUUUAUGACAUAUAUGGACAACUCAUUCUUUUUGGAAACUGGGUUUGCAUUUUUUGAAUAGUCACAACCUAAUGAUUUAAGGUUCAUUAGGACACCUAUAGGGCACUCUUCGAAGCUCUUUUGAUAACUAGAGAUAGGGUAAGGACUUGAAAUUAUCCUAAGGGGAAGGUGUUAGACACCCCUCAAGAUCCACUACUAUGGUUUCUCGCCUGACAGUCCUUGUGAAUUUGUGUAAUUUUAGCAAAUGGACAAGUAUAGGCUCAAAUUGUAUGGGAUUUAAAUUUAAACACAUAAGAGUUUGAAAGAACAAGUAGAAGACGAGUUUUGAAAAGAAGUUUGCUAAUAAAAGGGUUAAGGAGGUCUUUGGUUUAUAUUUUAUAUGGAUCAAAGUUUCCUAAGGGCCUCAAAUGGGCCUCGGGCGGUGCUCACUCCUAAGUUCACUUAGCUAGAUGGAGAUGAGUGCAGUGUGGAAAGGAAAUCCCUUAUGUGUCCAAGUUAAGAGGGAGCUCAUGGGUCGCAAAGCAAGGCUCACAAAAGAGGGGCAGAACCUAACUCUAAGAGUAUAGUGGAAGUGCAGAAGCAAAGAUUUAUUUAUGACUGGAUAUAAAAUAGUAAGGAGUAAGGGUAGUUUGGAAAAUAUUAGUAACAAAGCUAAAACGAUACAACAUCACUAAUUGCUUAAAGGGGGUAGGGGUUUGGGAAUUCACUGCAAGUAGCACAUGACACUAGGAGGGGUCAAAUCUGGACAUGCACAGCAAUAAGUGAUGAUGUCAUGCCCAUAAACCAGCUAGAUAAAACACACAUAAAGAGGAUAUGAAUUAUAUGAUCAGAGAGGGUCAGGUUUGCCUCAUGCACAACAAUGUCUAAUGUUGACAUGCCCUCAAACCAACCAAGGAACCCAACGGGAUAUGGGGUUUGGUGUUCAUAAAUGAGUUACAGCGUUCAUGCAUAUGGGAAACAUGUAUGCAGAAAAGGAAUGGGCAAAUUACAAUAUGCUUAAUAAUGCAACUUGAUUAACACACAAACAGAAAUAGGCAAGAGUGAAGGAAAGAAAAACAUGUUGUUGUUGAUGUUGAAAAGUUAAUCAGAACAUACAAGUAAAGAAGCAAAUGCAGAAUGUAAAGUAAGAAAGUUUCCCACAAGCUAGCCUUGGGUUUUAGCCGGCUAGACUAGGCAUCAACACAAGCAAUAACAGAGAAAAAGAGAGAGUUUGAGUGGAGUGUAUGUUUUGAACUCAAGUAGUUCAUGAUUUUGAAAGAAGCGAGGUGCAGGGUAUUUAUAGUUAUUGAAAACGAGUGAAGGAAAAUUAAUAAUAUACAAACAUUGAAACAAUCAUAACUAAGAAUAAAUUACACAAGUGAUUCCCUUUAAUUAAGGAAUAAUUGUUUAACGAUAUUGAUAGAUUCAAAAAUAAGGAAAGAAAAUCAAUUUGUAAGCAGACUGGUUGUACCAUAAAAGGAGUGCUAAAAGCAAUAAGUAGGCAAUCAAGUCUAAGUACAGAGACAUGCUUAUUUUGGGAAACAAAUCAGUAAGGUAAAUAUUACAGCAAAGCAAAAGAGUUAAUCAACUUCGAACAGGCAAGUGAAAUUAGAGUUCAUAAAAGGAAAGUUUUGAACUCAGUCACAAGAUUGAACACCAAUCAAAGAAGGAACCUAAGCAUAUAAAUAGAGUGAAAUAACACCUGAUAUGCUAGGCCAAACCCAUUGGUAGAAGAAAUAGCAUACAACAAUAGCAUAAGGUUCAGUAGAUAGCAAACAUUGGGAGCAUAAAAAUCAAGUAGGUCAAGUCAAGUUGAAAUAGUGAAGAAAAAAUAGAUUAUCAGAAGCAUGCAAAUGUCUCACAGUAGCAGGUGAGGAAAUUCCCUGAGAGGAUAGGAUUUCAACCAUAGUCGAGUAGAAAGAGAGUAAAAAUCAAAUAAAUCACAUAGAUGGAAGAGAGUCUAAAACAAUAAAUUUUAGUUGAGUGUAUAGAUACCCAUUUUAGACCCAAAGACUUAGGAUUUUCAUUAACAGACGAGUUCAACAUAUAGUAACAAACAAGUCGAGCAAGAAUUUGAACAAACAAGCACGCAUCUAACAAACAUCUUCAAGACUCGAUUGAGACCCAAAAGAAAUUAGUGUUUUCAACACGCUAACUUUGAUAGAAGAAAAACAUAGAAAAAUCAUAAAUAUGUUAAAAUUAUAGAAGAUAUUUGGAAAUAACUUUUAAAACCCCUAAUCGAAACGGAUGUAGAGUUGUUUUGAAAGGGAAGUUAAAGAAACUUCAACAAAAUUCUUAAAAGUUUAAGGUAAACACAUAUCUAUAGAAAAUCUGAAAGAAAGUGAAGAUCUUAGAGAUUGGGUUUUCGUAAAUCCUAUAAAAGGUGAGAAAGGCUUUCAAAGUUACCGAUCUAACUAGGAGAGUCAAGGAUCUGACUCGAACGAUCAUUGUUAGCCAGAGAAAGGUAAAGUAGGAUCCUAGAAGGGCCAUUAACUAAAAUCAAACAAGGCUUGGACCAGACUCCUUCAAGGUUUCGCCUUGAAACCAUAAGAACAAACACAUAGGUGCUAUAGAAGGCUUGUACAAGUCUCAAAUGACCACGGAGGGCCAUGGAUUAGGUAGAUAUCAACGUUGGGUUAAACGGCAGCGGCUAGAGUUUGUAAGAGUCUUAGAGAGAAUUUGAGAGAGAAGAGGAGGUCAAAGGCGGUGGUUGGUUUGAGUUAAAAAUAGUAAGGGGGUCUAGUGGUCGUUGAUCAUUUUGAUCAACAACCUGGAUUGAAUGGGGUAGGUAGGGAUUCGGGUUGGGUCAUUUAAAUUUGGGUUGGGUCGUGUUUUAGUGGUAAUUAGGACAUGGUAAUUGGGUUCAAAUUGGGGUAGAAUUAGGUUUUAAUUGAAAUGAAAUCUGGCUAGAUUUUAAAUAGCCAUUUUUCUAUUUAUUUUAUAAAAAAUAGUAAUUUAAAUUCCGGAAAUAAAUUUAAAGCACUAAUAUAAUUUUUAACACAUAAUUAUCAAUUUAAAAAUUCUGGCCUUAAUUUUUAUAAAUACAAACACAAUUAAAUCUUAUAAAGGGCUAAUAUUGCAAUUAUAAGCCAUUUUAAUUAAAAGAUUCUAAAUAAAUUUUUAAAAAUAUUCAAAAAAACAUUUCUUAGCUAUAAUUUGGUAUAAAUAUGAUAAUUCAAUAAAUUAAUUACUAAAAUGGCAAUUUUGAGAAUUAUUAUUAUUUUUUUAUAGGGAAAUAAGUGAAGGAAUAGUAAUAAGAUAAAAACAUGGAAACAAUCAUAAAUCAGAAUCAAUUACACAAGUGAUUCCCUUAAUUUAGGAAUCAUUGCUUAACGAUAGUGACAAAUUUAAAUAUAAGGAAAGAAAAUCAUAAGAAGAUUGGUUGUUACCACAAAAGGAGUGGUAAAACCAUUAAGUAAGCAAUCAAGUAUAUGUACAGAGACAUGCUUAUUUUGGGAAAGAAAUCAGUAAGGCAAAUAUUACAGUAAAGGGAAAACGUCAAUCAACUUCGAACAAGUGAGUGAAAUUAUGGUUUAUAAAAGGAAAUUUUGAACCCUUUCACAAGAUUGAAGACCAAUCAAAGAAGCAACCUCACCAUACAAAUAGAGUGAAAUAACACCAGACAUGCUAGGCAAAACCCAUUGGAGAAGAAAUAGCAUAUAACAGUAGCAUAAGGUUCAGUAGAUAGCAAAUAAUCAAGUAGGUCUAGUCAAAUUAAAUCAAUAGUGAAGAAGAAAAUAGAGUAUUAGAAGCAUGCAAAUGUCUCACAGUAGCAGGUGAGGAAAUCCCUUGAGAGGUUAGGGUUUCAACCAUAGUCGAGUUGAAAGAGAGUAACAAUCAGAUAAGUCACAUAGAGAGUCUGAAAAAACUUUGAGUCGAAUGUUCAGACACCCAUUUUAAAUCCAAAAAGUUAGGGCUUUCAAUAACAAAUGGUAAAGAGACAAGUCAAGCAAGAAUUUGAACAAACAAACACACAUCUAACAAACAUCGUCAGGACUCGAUUGAGACCCAAACUAAAUUAGGGUUUUCAACACGCUAACUCAGAUAGAAGAACAAUACGAGCAAAACAUAGAAAAAUCAUAAAUAGGUUAAAAUUAGAGAAUAUAUUUUGAAUUAACUAACAAGAAAAACCCUAAUCGAAAAAGAUGCAGAGUUGUUUCGAAAGUAAAGUUAAAGAAACUUCAAGAAAAUGUUUAAAAGAUUAACGUAAAUAGAUAUUUAAAUAAGAUCUAAAAUAAAGCGAAAGAUAUUAGAGAUUGGGGUUUCUAUAAUCCCAGAAAUGGUGAGAAAGGCUUCAAAAGUUAUCGAUUUAACAAGGUGAGUCAAGGAUCAGACUCGAACGGCCGUGGCUAGCCGGAAGAAGGUCAAGGAUGACCGGAUAAGGGACAUGAGUUGAAUUCCAACAAGGACUAGACCAGACUACUUCAAGGUAUGGCCUUGAAGACAUAACAACGAACACAUAGGAUCCAUAGAAGGCUGGUACAGGUCUCAAAUGACCAUUGAGGGGCAUGAUUAUGUAGAUAUCAAGGUAGGGUGAGAGGGCGGCGGCUACGGUUUGUAUGAGUUUUAGAGAGAAUUUGAGAGAGAAUAGGAGUUCAAAGGGGGCAGUAGGGGAGAAAUGAGGUGGGUUUAGGGGUAGGUUUGGGUUAAAAAUGGUAAGAGGUCUGGUGGUCGUUGAUCAUUUUGAUCAACGACCUUGAUUGAAUAGGGUAAGUAGGGAUCAAGGUUGGGUAAUUUAAAUUUGGGGUUGGGGAUGGGGUUUAAAUGGGAAUUGGGCAAGGGUAAUUGGGUUCAAAUUGGGAUAGAAUUAGGCUACAAUUGAAAUAAAAUAUGGCUAGAUUUUAAAUAGCUGUUUUCCCUAUUUUAUAUAAAUUUGUAAAUGAAUUUUUGGAAAAAUAUUGACAGUAAUAAAUUGAUUUGUAACACAUAAUUAUCAACUUAAAAAUACUAGACUUAAUGUUUACAAAUAUAAAUGCAAUUAAAUCUUUAAAAGGGGCUAAUAUUACAAUUAUAUGUAAUUUUGUUUUAAAAAAUAUAAAAUAAAUUUGUAAAAAUAUCCAAAUCUUGUUUUAUAUAUAUUUUGGUUUAAGUAUGAGAAUCCAAUAAAUGAAUCACCAAAAUGACAAUAUUUGAAAUUAUUAUUAUGUUUUUACGAAUAAAAUAGGGGAAUAAAUUGGUUUAAAAAAAACUUUAAAAAUUAUGAAAAAAUAAUAAAAUACUUGGGCAUACUUAAAUAUUUAUUCAUAUGAUAUUUUGAAAGUAUUUUUCAUACUAAAAAUAUAUAGGAAAAAAUUGGAUAUCAACAACAUGCACUCGCUGUUCAGGAGUGCGGACGGUAGGAGUCUAUGCUCCUCCCCCGACCUGGGAUGUGGCUGUAGCAAGGGGAAGCAACCCUGCCUGAGCCAAGGUGGUGUACAUGCUCAUGAACUGUACCAGAGUCUCCUAAAGAGCUAGAAUAGUAGUAGUUGUAGACUUGUCAGGUGCCUGGACUCUGGCUGGAUCUGCUAGUGGUACCAUAAGGCAGCUCGUGCAUGUGCUCUUGCUGCACUGCAUGCGCGUCCUCGGCCUCUACCCCGACCCCGGCCUCUGACGGCUACAAUAGGCGGCUCUGGUUUCUGAUCAUCUCGAGUAGUACGUGUCUUCACCAUCUGUAAGAGAAUAGAAGAUAGAAAUUUAGAAUUGUGAUGUCAAAAUAUCGCACGACAAGGAAAUCAAAUGAAGUGAAAAUUUUCCUAAUAGUUACAUAGCCUCUCGUAGAAAAGAAUGGACGUCUUCGUACAAAUCCGCGAGACUCUAAUAAACCUCCGUAUGCUCCAUGACUCAUAUGAACCUAGAGCGUUGAUACCAUCUUGUCACAUCCCGUUUCGCCCUCUGUGAACCACCGUGGCGGCACUAUUGCUCCCAAAUGCACAGGCAAGUAUAUGCGGUCGUCAAGUAAUAAAGUGACUAACAGUUGGAUGUCGAUCCCACGAGGACUUGUGAUUAACUAUCGACUAAAUUAGACUAUCCUAAUUAUCUAAACAAGAAUUAAACCUAUAAGUAUUUGAUUCUAAACUAAUUAAAAUAAAAAGAACAAAUAGGGAACUCGGGACAAAAGAAUAGAAGAUUUUUAUGUUAUCAAUGAGAUGAAAACGAUCUAGGGUUAUGGGCUAUCUAAAAAUCAUAUUGUAUUCUUCAAAUGAAUUAACUAACUAAUUUAUCUAGCUUAUUGGUUGACAGGGUUAAUAUUCCUCUUAAGAAUCUGUUGAGUUCUUUCUCGCCUAUUUAAGCAAACCUAACACCUAUAUGGCUAUGGAAAUAGCAUCAACGAGAACACAUUUGUAAUUCCUGUAAAUUAACCAAGCAACGUAAUUAGGUAUAUGUCUAUCCUAACCACGAAUCCGUUCCCCGAUGCCGAGGUUCAAGAACUUGCUGAACUCAAUUCUAUAUGCAAUCUAGAAUUCCCACUUUUGAGUUCAACUCUAGAUUCAGAUAUAGUAUUCAAUUGGUGAUCAAGCAAUCAAAAAAUUAUAGAUUUUAUAAAUCACUAAAUCAAAAUCACUAUCCAAAUAACAAUAGUCAUGAAAGAACCACAACCCUAAAACGUGAAGUUUAGCUCCACAAAAACAUGGUAGAAAAACAACAAAUCAUACAUAGAAACAUAAAAAACUAAGUUUGGUGGAAGAAAAGAUGAAACCCGAUGAAUUCUAGCCUCCACGGAGUGUCUAUGCUUGUGUUUUCCUCUCAAAAACAUCCUCUUCUCAUAAAAUACAUUUUUUGUGUAUAUAUACCAAGUAGGGUUGGGCCCAAAUAAUUAUGCCUUCUCCAAUGUGAUAAAGGAGAUUCUUUGCAGGUUUGACUAGCGCGGUAGCGCAGCUGGGCGCGCUAGUUGGAUGACAUUAUGUCCUGGGCGCGUAAAAACUAGUACGAUCUUGUAUCUGGGUGCGUUUCAUUAUUUUCUGCUUGGAAUUUGGGAAACGUAAAACAUGAAAUUUAUAGCCCUUUGAGUUAGCUUUCUAACCAUACAUUAUGGAGCUAAAAUGGAGUUCUGAGCAAAACAUUAUGUGUAUUUUACUAGACAGUGCGCAAUAUGCCUUCUCAAUUCUUCGUUUGCUCUAACUAUCAUCUAUUGACCCCCAAAGAUUAUCCCGGAUUAAUUCCUUGAGCUUUUACUCAGAUUUCAAAUCUCCAAAUAUCUUGAAUUCAUUCCAUAAUAUCUAUAUAGCUCGGAAACACUUCCACAAGGCAUAAAACAUACAGUUAGUGCAAGACAUUAGCUAUUAAAGCUCAAACUCAAUCAAAGUGCAGUAAAUUUGAGAAUAAUAAGUGACUAAGUAUAGCCCAUCAUCAACACCCUACACUUCAAUCAUUGCUCGUCCUCAAGCAAUCAAACUACAAUUUUUAUAGACACAACAUUGUUAUACAAUUCUCCUAACUCAUGACACCAAGAUUAUUUAAAAUAGACUAAGCACAAAAGUGUAACGUCUUCACCUCAAGAUUUACCACGCAUUAUUCUCAACUCACCCACUUUCUCUAACAUAGAGUUCAUUAACAUUACCUUUACUUCAUGAAUCAAGUGCCCUCACACAACAAAAGAGAGUGGUUUCACACAAUAAAAUUUAAGAACACUUACGAACUCAAGAUUGAAAAAACUCACUCCCUCUCAGAAAUAACAUUCACAAUCCACAAAAGAAGUAGCAUAAGCUUACACGUACUACUCAGCUAAUCGAGCUCAUUCAUUCUAGGAUCAAUUAGGACUUUAUUUGGUUAUAAUGUAGGCUACAGGACGGGUAGGAUACGUUUAGAUAUAACACUGACUACACCUCCCUAAGCACUUUAAUAUAUAUAAAUUCUAACAUUUAAAUCACAUUCUUAUGUCGAACCAAAAAUCCACCUUCACAUCAAUGUAAAUUACCUCAUUCUUCUUUAAGCACACUUACAUCAAGAGCCACCGCUUUUUUUUUCACAAUAAUCCAACUAUUUUCUUUUUAUUUUUCAAUUCAAGUGGCUCUUACAUUUUUAAAGAAGUGCACUUUUCUCCGUAUUCAAUUAGUUCCACUCAAAAGCCAAACCAACCAUCCCACACUUUAACUUUUACAAAGUUCAUAACAAUUCAAGUACUCAUGAGGUUACAUGGUUCAAAUAGAUGGUUAAUUCAAACAAAUGGGUAAGUAUUGUAAUGUGGUUGCCAAAAAACAAGAUUACAAUCUCAAAGGGGUUAACUACGAUACAUAACAAUUAUGUGGGUAAACUAUACAUAUCUGGCUCAACAAAGAAAUGCCUAUAUCACUUCCUACACUGAAUAAAACUACUAUAUUGAUAUGCCAAACCAGCUACCCCACACUUUAAUUUUUACAAAGUUCAUAACAAUUCAAGUGCUCAUGAGAGGUGAAAAUAUUUAAACAGAUUGUUAAUUCAAACAAAUGGGUAAGGCUUGUAAUGUGGUUGCCAAAGAAUAAGGAUUAUAGGCUCAAAGAGGUUAACUACAAUACAGAAUAAUUAGGCGGGUAACAUAUACAUAUCUGGCUUAACAAGAAAUGCCUAUAUCACUUCCAAGACUGAACAAAACUACUAUUUCACUUUGCAAGCACACAGUGCAAGUUCUAGACAUCAAAUGAAAUGCACUGAAUAAUGCAAAACAUUACACACAUAGCACAUAACUCACUCGGGAUUAGAUUCAUAGACACUCUAGUCAAAGCAGUUAAGCAAAGUUAAGAUAAUACAAUUUAAGGUACUUCUACAAGAGUCAAAAACUGAGCCUAAGCGUCAUAACCAAAGUACUCACUAUUAUCAAGGCAUAUACAAGUCAAGAGAUAUUUCUUCAAUUCAAAGAACACAACCAUGGCUCCUACUCCCAAAAAAAAUAACUACACCCAGUUCAAAUAAAAUCCUUGAAAAAGAAUCGUGGCCCAAAGAAAAACCAAGGGGGGUUGCAACACUACCUAAAAAAAUAAAAAAAAA